rnacentral:lncRNA from 1 species
AACAUUCAUAAGAUAUGGCACCACUCAUCCCCCCAUCUAUCGGAUACCUAAAUUUCUUGCAGGUGAAGAGGUGUCACAAUUUGAAAUACCUGUUCCCGUCUUUCUUAGCAAAAGAUCUUGUGCAACUCCGAUACCUUCGAAUUUUGGACUGUAAUAUGAUGGAACAAGUAAUAUUCACGGAUGGAUUGGUUGAGGAACAUCAAGGGAGGAAUCAGAUGUUUUUCUUUAAUCUAAGUUCGCUGUGCCUAAACGACCUUCCCAAACUCACGAGUUUGUGCUUUGAAAAUUACUUUGAAUUUCACCGUUUGGCAUAUUUAACACUAGCAAAUUGUCCAUUGCUAAAAACAUUCAUCUCUAAAUGUGUACCCGGAGAUGAACCUCAAAUUGGCCAACAUGUACAGGCAAGUAACUUGGAGGUUCAUAACUCAUCUCUCCUCAAUGAAAAGGUAAUUUCUUCAAGGAUCCUCCUUUUAAUUUAUGUUACUUCGAUUGAUUUUAUUCAUUUGAAGUUCUUUCUUUUUCAUACAUAUUUCAGUUAUUAACCUAAUGAAAUGAUUUAUUAGGUUGUUUUCCCUAGUUUGGCGAAGCUGCAGAUUCAAAAUUGUGAUUCGUUAGAAGAAAUUAUUGAGCUGCAAGGACUCAUUGCUGAUGAGUCACAGUCAACAUCAGCUGCUCAAUCUAUUGUGGCUGAAACAGUGACGACCAAGUUUGUAUUUCCCAAACUAGAAAACCUUGGAUUGGAUAAGGUGCCAAGAUUGAAAAGUUUCUACUCUAGGAUGCAUACCACCCUGUGGCCUUCAUUGAAACAAAUGAGCAUUAUUGAAUGCCCCAAAGUACAGAUAUUUACUCGACAAUGUCCUGUGAGUCAGGUUGGAAUCUCAAACCAACAACCCUUGUUUUGCGUCAACGAGGUAAGCUCACUAGCAGUUUCAUAUUCCAUGUUCAUUACUUGAGAUUACCUAUAAAAUGCCCUUUCAAUUUAUGAGAAAGAAAUGGAAAUUAUAUUCAUUUUGUAGUCUAGUUCUUACGAAUUGAAAACUCUUUGAUCGAUGUUUAAUAUAUUCGUUGCCAUCCAGGACACUUUCCCUGUAUUAGAAGAACUAACACUGAAGACGAAUGAUAUGGUGAAGGGGAUAUGUGAUGGACAGCUCUCAUUGCAGUGUUUCCAAAACCUUAAGCAUCUUAACCUCCGAUUCUUUCCUGAGACAUCCACUACUCUUCCAUAUUCCUUCAUUCGGUCGCUACCAAAGCUUCAGAAGCUUGUUAUAAACAAUGCUUCCAUUUCUGAAAUAGUCCGGUCUGAAGGACUUAGCGAAGAGGAAAGGCACACAUUGGUAUUCUAUCAGUUAAAGGACUUAAGGUUGUCUCAACUUCCACAGUUGACGUUGAAGACUUUUGAACCAUCUUUGCUGUCUUUCAAAAAUCUAACAACACUGAAAGUUUCAAGAUGCCAUGGAUUCAUCAAUUUAAUCGCAUGCUCAACAGCUAAGUGCCUGAGGCUACUGGAAAGAUUGAGCAUAGAUGAUUGUGAGAUGAUAGAGGAAAUCAUAGCGUGUAAGGCUGAAGAAAUACAAGGCGGUAUUGUGUUUCCCAAACUGAAGUAUUUGCAACUAAGCUGUCUGCCACGUCUAGCAAGCUUUUCCUUGGCCGAUCACUCGUUGGAAUUCCCAGUCUUGCUAAUGGUGAAGGUGACAAAGUGUCCCAAAAUGAGGAAUUUCUGCCAAGGAGAUUUAAGCACACCAAGGCUGGAACAAAUGCACUUAACAAGAGAUGAGGAAGGUGAACUGCAGUGGGAAGGCGACCUUAACACUACCAUAAAACAUAUGUUCGAUGAAAUGGUACAAAUCAUUUAAAGGAUUUAAAUUCAUGUGUUUUUACAUACAUACAUACAAAGUUAAUUGAACAAUUCUUGGUUUGUUAUGAUCAUGUACAGAAUGUGCAAAAUUCUGAGGUGACGGAGGUUACUGAUCAGUUGCCCAAGCUGGAAUAAGGAAAUAUGUUUGGUGCCUAUGCGAAAAGCUCAAUUUCGUUUGAAUUCAAAACAAAUGGUAAUUGACUCUUCUAUUUUCAUCAUGGCUUAACUAACCAAGACCCUCCAACCUCCUCGGAACAGUUUGAAAUCGUUCCAAAAUAUGCUCUAGCAAAUGUUCCAAGCCAUCUCCUGCAACAGCUUUCCCUUACAGAUAGUUUUCUCAUUCGUGGCUGAGUCUAGUCUUAAUUUUUAUUUAUAUCUUUUAUAUCCAAUUUAUAAUUCUUAUUUGGGAUUUGUAUUUCAUCAUUGUUGAAAAAAAAAAACAAUUGAUUUCAACUAAGAAAAUAUUUAAAAACAUGUCUCUAAUCUUUUUCAAUUUUGAUAUUGAAAAAAUUGGUAUUUCUAAAAAUAUCAGAGUUAUUCAAUUACUUUCAUUUUUGAAAGUGAUAAAUUAAGGACAAUUAAUCAACGUUAAUAUUUUUCAUCAAUUAUACAUAAUUUUAUUGGUAUAAUAAUAAAUUAAGCCCUCAAAGUUUACACAUUCUAUCAAUUUGUUAUUGAUUUAAUAAAUUUAACCCACAACAUUUACACGUUUCGUCAAUUUGAUCAUGAUUUAACAUAUUUAACCCAUAAUAAUUACACAUUCUAUCAAUAUUUAAGCGAAAUAUAUAAUCAUUAAGGAUUAAAUUUUUUUAUACUAAUCAAAAAUAUGUAUAAUUAACAGAAACUAUUAGCACUUGAUUAAUUGUUCGUGGUUUCUUUCAAAAUUAAUAAGGAUUAAGUUACUCUAUUUCUUUUAGAGUGACCAAUUUGUUCAAUAUCAAAAAGAUAUUUUUUAUUUUUUUAAAUUUCAUAGGUAAGAAAAUCUCAAAAAAGAAAAUCUUUGAAAUAAAAAAAUAGUAUGUUUUAUAUAAUUAUUUAAAGUUACUCUCACAUCAUUUUUUACCCAUUCAAAGCUAGCAAGCCUUUCAUGUACAAAAUGGUGUAGCUCUGCAAUUUGGAUUAACAUUUUGGUGACCUCCAUGUGAAGUGAAAGAAAAUUGACAAUGUCACACAAUUAUUAUUUUUUCCUCCGUACCCUUAUGCCACCAAAGAAAGUUGAAUUAUCAAGGCACAAAAGUACUAAGGAGUAGGAGCUAGAAAAAGAGGGGCAUGAAAAUAAAGAGACUUACAUAUAUUAUUUGCAUAAUACAAAAUCAGUAUUUAAUAUUUACAUAUUUUAUUAAUUUGAUUUUUAUUUUUAUUUAGUUAAAUUUGACUUUAAAUCCUUUAAAAUAAAGUUGAAUUUGAUCAUCAACCUUUUAAAAAUAGCCAAAUUAUUAUUUAACGGAAAUGUUAAAUUUUGAAAUACAUAUAACAAUUCGUGUGUAUUUCAUAUUAUUUUUUUAAAAAUUUUUAUGAUUUUUUUGAAAUUUUGAUUUUUGAAUAUUAUUAGAAAAUUAUUUGGAACAUUGUUAGUGGAGUUUUUAACCUCCACCAACAAAAUCAAUGGGUUAAUAAGUGUCUUACAAGGAUAUAAUAAAAUAUUAAAAAAUAUAUUUUUUAAAAUAUAUAUAUGUUAAUUUUUUAAAGUUGUGGAAUAAAAAGAAUAUAUUAUUGGCGUACCAAAUACUCACCUUUUUAAUUAAGAUUUAAAAAUAAAAAAUAGUUAGUAAAAUGAAUGGAUUGCAAAUUGAGAAAUUUGAUAUUGAAUAUUAAAAUUUUCUUAAAAAGAAGACAUACGAAAGUUAGUGAUUUAUUUGAUUUAAUUUCAAUUUUUAAAUUUAUGCAUUUUAUUAUGAAUUUUUAUUCUUUGUGUACUCUGUAUAAUUUGUUUGAAAUUUUCAAUUUUCAAUUUCUCACAUGAGUUUGAGAUAUAAAAAAAAUUACUCUUAGGACUGGUGAAACAGUCGAUACUUAUCAUAUGUUGAUGAUUUUGUUCUUCAAAAUAUUGUCUACAGAUAGGAUAUCAGAGUUCUAUUAUUAGAGUUUCGUUAAAAAGUCGAAAGUUCUAUUUUAGCCUAGGACUCUAGGAGUUCUGUUAUCGAUAUUCUAAUUAUGAUCAUGAUCUAUAAAAAAUAUGAGUAACAUGUGAUACGUAAAUGAAAAUUUGUAUGAUAUGAUAAGUCAUAAAUUAAGUGAAAAUGUAUGAAAGUGUAUGAUUAUAUGAAAGACAAAAAUAAUUAAUUUAAUUUAAUGAUUUGUAAAAUUGAAAAGUAAAAUACAUGAAUUAUGUAAGAGAAUGUUGAUGAUCAAUAUGUGGUAUGUAAAUGACAAGGAAAAAAUUAUAUGACCAAAUACUAAAAUAAAUGAAUAAUGAAAUUAGCUAAAUACUUUGUAAGUUCAAAAGUAGGUUGCAUUAAAUAAAUAAGAUUAUGUUAUUUCAUAGUAUAAGUAGUUUGUUAAUUUGUUUUAAUUUAAAUUAUUUAAAACAUGCUAAAAUAAAUGAAUUGGUAAGCUACCAAAUUUAGUUACAUACUUACUAUCGCGUUUGUAGAAGGCAAAAACAAUAAAGGUUCAAAUAUUUCUGCUUAAAUUUGGAACACUUCACUCCUCAAACUUCAAGUUCAAGCUCUUUGAUAUAUAAAUUUUGGACCUUAAUUUGACACGUACUUAAGCUUAUUAGUAAUAAUGUGAAUUAUGUACGAAAGAUUUAUAUUAUAAAGUACCUCGGUUAUAAUGAAAUAAGAAUAAAUUGAAGUGACGAGUUUAGUGUUAAAUGUAGCAUCUCUUAUUCAAAUUUGUUAUCGGAUCAGGUGAGAGUUGUUACAGCUAGAAUAUAAAUUACCAUUUCUUUUUUCUUAAGAUAGACGUAUUUUUUUUUAUUAAUUCGUACAUAAAAUUAAUGAUAUUUUUACUAAAAUAUUAAAUUCGAACAAGGAAUUUAAGAAAAAAAAACAUUUUAGCCAACAACAUAUUCUUUGUAGGAUCAAAAACAUUAAUGCAAGAAACUUAAAACAAGGAAUCAAAAGUCUAGAACAAGCAAUCAAACUUAUUUUAUAUGAUCCACCAUUAAAAUUUUAGAAUAUGAUAAACAAGCAAUCAAAUAUUAAGUGCACAAUUUUAGAUUUACUGUACAAGAGCCGAGAAUGAGAUCAGAUGGCUUCCUACAAUUAAUUAAACCGUGUUGCAGUACCUCUCUGGCAUAAACUUCGCUUGUAAACUUCUAUAAGUUGUCACUUCAAUGACCUUCAUCAACUUGCAGCUCUAAUCUAAAUUGUAGAAAACCAAUUGAUAACGAAUUCACAAUCCACGGAUUGUGGCCUUAUAAUGCUAAUAACAAAUCAAUGUCUCAUUAUGAUUCACAUAAUCCAUACACCGGUGGAUAGGUGCAAGGAUUGUUUGAAUCAUAAGGGAGCAUUGAUUUGUUCUUAGCAUUAUGUGUCCAUAUACCAUGGAUCUUGAACUCAUUAAGAAUUGGUGGUCUACAACUCAGAUUAGAGCUACAGGCUAAUAAAGGCCAUUGAAGAAAAAGCUUACGAAAAUUACAAGCGAAGUUGAUGCCGGUAGGAGUGCUGCAAAUGCUGCUCAAAAUGAAAAGAGAAGAGCAAGAGGAGUACUCUCUCUCUCUCUCUCUAUAUAUAUAUAUAUAAAAGUAUAUACUCUUCUCCAUGCUGCACAUUAUUGCAAAAAAAGAAAACACACAAGGGACCAAUCUUUGAUCUUCGCAAAGGUCAUUUGAGAUCAAAGGAGAAGAACAAGAAAAACAAAGGUAAGGGGUUUGAAGAAAGAGCCAAAUAUAUAUAGAAAAAUUUGAGAGAGAGGAUGCGUUUCAUUUAAAGAUUAAAUGUUUCUUUUUUUUGGCUAAAAACAUUUCUUUGAUCCCUCUCAAUUUUGAUAUUGAGUAAAUUGGCCCCUUUCUAAAAAUUUUGGAGAAAUUUGAUCAUUGUUGAUUUUGAAAGUGAGCAACUAAGUACAAUUAAUCACAACGUUUAUGUUUUUCAUCAGUUCUAUAAUUUUCACAUUCCAUCAAUUUGGUCCUGAUUUAACAAAUUUAGCCCGUAAUAUUUACACAUUUUGUCAACAGUUUCGAAACGUUGGGCUUCGAAAACCUUACCAGCCUGCAGUUUUAUAGAUGUAGCAGCUUGAAGUACAUAUUUACUCCGUCUAUGCUUUUGAGCCUCAAUCAACUACAAUGGCUAGAAGUAAAAGAAUGCAGUUCAAUGGAACAAGUGGUUAGGGAGGAGGAGGAAGCAAUGACACAGUCGUGUUCCAACUUGACAAAUUUCCAUUGGGGAAGUCAAGCUCUUGAAUUUCCACGGCUGAGUAAUAUCAGGAUAGCGGAGUGUCCAAAAAUGACUGCAUUUUCUUCCUCAGUUUCAAGAGAGAGUGGUGAUGCAAGUGAAAGCGUGGUUGGCGAAGGGGGCAUCUAUGAUAACACUGCAACUUUUUUCAGCAAUAAGGUAAGUUUGGUUUUCAAUAUUUAUCUGCACAACUUAUUUAUCAACCUUGUCAAAAUUGAAUAUAAUAAAAUCCAUAAAAAUAUUAAUAAAUAAGAUAAUANNNNNNNNNNNNNNNNNNNNNNNNNNNNNNNNNNNNNNNNNNNNNNNNNNNNNNNNNNNNNNNNNNNNNNNNNNNNNNNNNNNNNNNNNNNNNNNNNNNNAAGUAUAAAUAAAUAUAUAAAAUAAGAAUUGAAGGAAAAACUUAAAGUGAAAUACUAAAAAACAAAAAGAAUUUAAGAGAAGUUUAAAAUUAAAUAGAAAUAGACAAUAAAUAAUAAAAUAAUAAUAGAAAAAAGAAAACUAAUCUUCCUUUAUUUUAAUUUGUGGGUGUAUAAGAAGGACAUAAUUGUGGAAGACCUUCACAAAGGUCAUUUGAGAUCAAAAUAAGGAGAAGAAGCAUGAAAACAAAAGGUGAGGAGUUUGAAGAAGAAAGAACCAAAUAUAUAGAGGAGAAUUGAAGUGAGAGAGUGGAUGGGUUCUUUUUAAAGAUUUAAUGCUUUUUUUUUUAAUUUCAUAUAUAGAAAAAAUCAUUGAAAGAAAAAAAAGUUCAAUAUAAUUAUUUAAAUUUACUUGUCGGGUUUUUAUAAAAGUAACUCAAAUUUUUUAUUAAUUAUGAAAAUGAAUCAAUUUAAAAAUUAUGUACAUAAAUUAUUCGAUUUCUAUAGUGUUUGUCGGUGCCGCCAGACACAAUGGUGGCACCGACCUACCAUCAUCGACCAAUGAUUGCAUUUUAUUUGAAAAUAAUAGUUUUUUAGUAGUGUCGUUGGAAAAAUUGGCAAUAUCAAACUGAAGUGUGAUUAUAUAAAAUGUUUAUGGACUUGACGAAGUACUUAUCCUUUUUUUAAUUAGCAGAAAAAAAGGGGUCUUCCGUGAAUAUGGGGCACCAAAUUAAAUGCUUUUCAUCUUUUGGUCUAUUUGCAUGUUAGGUCUAUCCCCUUUUGAAAUUAUAUUUAAAUAACCCUUAAGAAAUAUAAGAAUAAUAAAAAUAAACCAUUCUUAUUUAUUUAUUUAUUUUAAAAAUAACUUAAAAAUUAUAUAAAUUACUUAUUCAAAUUAUCCAAAUAUAUCCCUCACACAAUUUCCUCAAGUUUAUCUAAAUUCAAGUAUUUUCAAUUCAUUCCCUAGCAUAUUUAAAUUUAGAUAAACUUAAAGAAAUUUUUUGAGGAAUAUAUAUAUUUGGAUAAUUUGAAUAAGAACUUUAUAUAAUUUUUUAAGUAUUUUUUCAAAAAAAUGAAAAUAGUUUAAUUUUGUUAUUCUUAUAUUUUUUAAGUGCUAUUUAAAUUUCAAAAGAGGACAAACGUAACAUGCAAAUAGGUCAAAUGUUGAAAAACAUUUAAUUUGGUUCAGAUACCAAACGCCACCUCUUUUUCAACCAAUCUAAAAAUGUUAACCGCUUCAAAAGAUCCCUACACGUUUUAUAUAAUCACAUUCAUUCUGGUGCCGUCAAUUUAUUAGGCAAAAUUACUACAAUUUUAUUUAAAAAGCAAUCAUUGGCUGAUGAUGGAGACCAAUGCAGUAAGCACUAUAGAAAUCAAGUCAUUUACGUAUAUGAUUUUUAAGUUGGAUCAUUUUCGUAAUUAACCAAAAAAAAUUUGGUUACUUUUCAAUAAACAGGUAUUUGUUUGGCUUUACUUAUAUUUUCUUAUACAACUUUUAUUUAUAUGCCCAUUAAUACUUCUAAUAAUUGAAAUAAAUAAUAUUGUGUAAUGGUUUUUCCGGAGCUCAAAAAUAAAUUUCAAUUCCAAAACAAAUGAAAAUUUAAUUUUUAAUUCAAACCGAUUGAAAGUACAAAGUCAAUUCAAUAAUCUAAAUUUAAACCCAACAAUUUUUUUUUUAAAUUCUGAAAAUAAAAUUUGAGCCCACAAAUCGAACUAAAAUUAUCUUUAAAAUCGAAAAUCAUAUUUUCAAAUUAUGUUACAUACUAUCUUUCCCUAUCGAAAAAGAAUUGUGUGUAAAUAUGUGCAAUUUAUUUUCCCUCACUUGGAAAGCUUGUAAUUGUGUUCCAUUAACACCAAAAUAAUAUGGCACAACCAGACAUGUCAUUGGGUUACGAAUUUGAGGAGGUUGAUCAUCAAAGGAUGCGGCAAGUUGGAGCAUCUGUUAUCACCCUCUCUCGCUAGAAGUCUGGUGCAGCUCCAAUGCUUUGAGAUAGAGGAUUGCGAUUGCUUAAGGGACAUAAUACUUACAGAGGAAAUUGAAGAAGAAAGGAAAGAUGUGAUUUGUUUCCCUCGAUUAAACUCCCUGCAUAUAGUGGGUCUUCCAAACCUCAUCUUCUUCAGCUCAGGAAACCACAAUAUUGAGUUCCCAUUGUUGAAAGAGCUAAAGAUUGAGCGUUGCCCCAAGUUAAUAGAAUUCAUUAGUCAGAAUAGUAAUCAGUCCGGCAUGCACGCUCUCUUCAGUGAGAAGGUGAUUUAUUUCAGUAGUCUUACACUCUUGCAUAAAUCUGUUGAUUUGUCCUUGUUUUUUUUUCUGCCUUCAUUACUUGAGCUAACCUUAUUAUGGGCAUGGAUUAUAUAUAUAUAUAUAUAUGAAUAGGUUGCAGUUCCUAGCUUGGAAGACAUGAAUAUCUCGGGCUUGAGUAAUGUGAAGAUGAUAUUUUAUAAUGACCUAGCACCAGGUUCCUUUAAAAAUCUACGAGAAAUAAAUGUUCGGCGAUGUGGGAGUUUGAAUAAUCUAUUUCCAGUAUCAAUAGCCGAAGAUCUUCCACAACUUGAACAUUUACGCAUCACUGAUUGUGGAGUUGAGGAGAUUGUAUCGAAAGGGGAUGGAGUGGAGGAUUGCAAGUGUUUAAGGGACAUAAUACUUACCGAGGAAAUUGAAGAAGAAAGGAAAGAUGUGAUUUGUUUCCCUCGAUUAAACUCCCUGUGCAUAUAGAUUGUCUUCCAAACCUCAUCUUCUUCAGCUCAGGAAACCACAAUAUCGAGUUCCCAUUGUUGGAAAAUCUAUGGAUUGAGCGUUGCCCCAAGUUAAUAGAAUUCAUUAGUCACAAUAGUAAUCAGUCCGGCAUGCACGCUCUCUUCAGUGAGAAGGUGAUUUAUUUCAUUAGUCUUACACUCUUGCAUAAAUCUGUUGAUUUGUCCUUGUUUUUUUUUUUCUGCCUUCAUUAUUUGAGCUAACCUUAUUAUGGGCAUGGAUUAUAUAUUUAUAUAUAUAUAUAUAUAUAUAUAUAUAUGAAUAGGUUGCAGUUCCUAGCUUGGAAGACAUGAAUAUCUUUAACUUGAGUAAUGUGAAGAUGAUAUUUUAUAAUGACCUAGCACCAGGUUCCUUUAAAAAUCUACGAACAAUAAGGGUUUGGGGAUGUGGGAGUUUGAAAAAUCUAUUUCCAGUAUCAAUAGCCAAAGAUCUUCCACAUCUUGAACGUUUAAGCAUCUGCGGUUGUGGAGUUGAGGAGAUUGUAUCGAAAGGGGAUGGAGUGGAGGAGCAGCCUGUGAGGUUUGAGUUUCCGCAAGGUUUGAGUUUCCGCAAGUGUCUUACCUUGAUGUUAGUGGGGUAGAAAAGCUCAAAUGUUUCUAUGAAGGGCAACAUACAAUAGUCUGGCCGAUGUUGAAAAAAUUGAUAACAGAUAGUUCUGCUUUGCUAAAGAUAGUGGCAUGGGAACAUCUUAGAUUAAUCCAAGGAAAUGAGGAGCCAGUUUUGUUGGGUGAAGAGGUAUGUAUAUCAUUACAACUAUAUUUCUUUUUAUGAUUUAAACCACUGCCACAAGCAUCUCAAGUUGAAAUAUGCCACGAUAAUGCAUUUCUAAUUAUUAUAUUUUUUUUCGUAUUUUUGAAUUUUCAAUAUAUAUAUAUUUUAAAUUUUUUGUUACAUUUAUAAAUAUUUUUUCAAUUUUUAAAAACAAGACUGAAUAAACAUAAUAGGUAAAUAUUGAGUGUUAAUCUUGACUUUUUAGAAUGUAGUUCAAUUUGAUAAAAUGUAUAAGUGUUGAGGGUUAAAUUAAUUAUUAUGCAAAAAAAAAAUUUGCUACAUUAGCAUUCCGUUAGUGACUUUGCAGUAUAGCAAUUAAGAUAUUCAAUUUCUCCAACAGCAGUGGUUAAAUUGAAAUUUUAUUUGGUUUUAAGUGACCAAAAUGAAAAUAUUUUAACACUUAAGUGACUAUAUAUGUAAUUUACCCUGCAUUUAAGUAGUGGGUCGAAACAAAAUAUAACGUUUAAUUUGCUAAAAAAAAAUCGCCACUCAAUAAAAAGUCAAAAUUUUAAAAGUUAAUUACACUAGACAUCUCAAACUAUGACCUUCAUUUUAAAUUAGUCCCAAAAUUUAAAAUAUUCUAAUUACAUUCUUAAACUAUUGAGGUUAUAUCAAUUAGGUUUUUCUGUUAUUAAAUUCGUUAAUUUAACCAUCAAAUUAAAUCAGUGUAUUAUCUACACUGUUCUGCUUAUAUUUUUUUAUCAUAGAAAAAUAAAAUUAUAUACAUAUAUAUAGCAAUGGUUGUUUAUCUAUUUUAAUCUAGAUUUGCUACUCUUCUUUCGGCUUUCAUGUUCUGUAAUUUUUAUCAGUUUUUAUUCUCAAGGUAUUGUGUUUUCUUAAAACAAAAAAUUCAUCUAUUCUGGAUUCGUUUGAUUUAAUAUUGAUUUUGUUGGGAUUUAAUCAUCAAAAUCAAACACUUAAAUUGUAUAUCUUUUUUUUUGUUUGUUUGUUUUUUUAAAGCAUAUACAUCAACAUUGAGCCUAACUUGUUUAUAUUUAAUUGGUUUCCUAGGUCAUUCCCAAAUUAGAGGAACUUGUGUUACGAAAUUGUGGUGAUAUGGACCAAUUUCCACCAGACUUGUUUCAACAUAUUAAAGUUUUUGCAGCGAGUGAUGGCUCUCCAUUUUCUAUAUUUCCUUUCGUCCGAAGAUUCUACAAUCUGGAAAGACUUCAGUUUACUCAUUUAGAUUUCAAACAUGUAGUCCCUUGUAAAGGAGACGCCGGGACUCUCCCACCAAUUAGAAAUCUGAAAUUGUUUUCUGCCGGAAAUCUUAAUCAUAUUUGGAGGAAAGAUUCGGAGCUUGACCAUAUUCUUUCUAAUCUUCAAACACUCACAGUUCAGAAUUGUGAUGAUUGGAUAAAUAUUGGAGUGUUCUCAUCAUCUUUACAAAAUCUCACAAUUUUGAAUGUGUCAUUUUGUAAAAUGAUGACAAACUUAGUCACCCCCUCAGUACUUAAGAAUCUUGUGCAAUUAACGACAAUAAAGGUAGAAGACUGCACUAAAAUGACAGAAAUAGUGGGAAACGAGGGAGACUGUCAUCAGACAAUAGUUGUUAGUAAACUGAAAUGUUUACAACUAUGCAAUUUGAAGAGCCUCACAAGCUUUUGUCCACGGUAUUACAGCUUCGAGUUUCCUUGUUUGGAAGAAUUAGUUGUGGAAGGUUGUCCAUGGUUAAAGAUCUUUUCUGAGGGAGUUUUAAGCACCCCACAAUUACAGAGAAUAAAACGGUCGCAUUACGGUGAGGAAUGGAGUUGGACAAGUGACCUUAAUACCACCAUACAACAGAUCUACACAGAAAAGGUACAAAGUUAAUAAGUUCAUAAUGCUAGCUAGAUUCCUCCUGUCCUAAUACAAUUAAUUUUAUUACUACUUCAAUAACCAUUGAAGAAUGUUAAUUGUUAUUUUGUCAUUGUCUGCAUUUUCUAUUUAUGGUUGCUAUCUAGUGGAAUAAUAUCAGAUUAAUUUUUAGGAUGGACUCUAUGAUUUCAACAUCUCUGACACAUUUCCGGAGUCGAUAGAAAUAUGGACUAGAAACCCUCAAGAAAUUUUGGGCUUCAAAAACCUUAGCAGCCUGCAGUUUUAUAAAUGUAGCAGCUUGAAAUACAUAUUUACUCCGUCUAUGCUUUUGAGCCUCAAUCGACUCCGAAGGAUAGAAGUGGAAGAAUGCAGUUCAAUGGAACAAGUAGUUAGGGAGGAGGAGGAAGCAAUGACACAUAAAUUUACAUUUCUUUCGCUACGCUCCGUAACAAUUGAGUCGUGUUCCAACUUGACAAAUUUCCAUUGGGGAAGUCAAGCUCUUGAAUUUCCAGAGCUGAGUAAUAUCAGGAUAGCGGAGUGUCCAAAAAUGACUGCAUUUUCUUCCUCAGUUUCAAGAGAGAGUGGUGAUGCAAGUGAAAGCGUGGUUGGCGAAGGGGGCAUCUAUGAUAACACUGCAACUUUUUUCAGCACUAAGGUAAGUUUGGUAUUCAAUAUUUAUCUGCACAACUUAUUUCACAUUUUCUUUUGAUUUGAUCAACAUGAGUGUGUCUGGUCUAUAUAUACAUACUAGUGCAACACCUUGCCAAAAUUGAAUAUAAUAAAAUGCAUAUAUUAAUAAAUAAGAUAAUAUUUUAAAAAAAAUUGGAGUUUAAAGUAUAAAUAAAUAUAUAAAAUACGAAUUGAAAGGAAAAUAAUAAUAGAAAAAAGAAAACUAAUCUUCCUUUAUUUUAAUUUGUGGGUGUAUAAGAAGGAGAUAAUUGUGGAAGACCUUCACAAAGGUCAUUUGAGAUCAAAGGUGAGGAGUUUGAAGAAGAAAGAACCAAAUAUAUAGAGGAGAAUUGAAGUGAGAGAGUGGAUGGGUUUUAUUUAAAGAUAAUAUUUAAUGCUUUUUUUUUUUAAUUUCAUAUAUAGAAAAAAUCAUUGAAAGAAAAAAAUUCAAUAUAAUUAUUUCAAUUUACUUUUCGGGUUUUUAUAAAAGUAACUCAAAUUUUUGAUUAAUUAUGAAAAUGACUCAAUUUAAAAAUUAUGUACAUAAAUUAUUUGAUUUCUAUAGUGUUUGUCGGUGCCGCCAGACACAAUGGCGGCACCAACCUACCAUCAUCGACCACUGAUUGGCGGCACCGACCUACCAUCAUCGACCACUGAUUGUCUUUUAUUUAAAAAAAUAAUAGUUUUUUAGUAGUGUUGUUGGAAAAAUUGGCGAUAUCAGAUUGAAAUGUGAUUAUAUAAAAUGUUCAUGGACUUAACGAAGUAAUUACCCUUUUUUAAUUAGCGGAAAAAGGGGUCUUCCCGUGAAUAUGGGGCACCAAAUUAAAUGAUUUUCAUCUUUUGGUCUAUUUGCAUGUUAGGUCUAUCCCUUUUGAAAUUAAAUUUGAAUAACCCUUAAGAAAUAGAAGAAUAACAAAAAUUGGUGAUAUUAAACUGAAAUGUCGUCGGAAAAAUUGGUGAUAUUAAACUGAAAUGUGAUUAUAUAAAGCGUUCAUGGAUUUGACGAAGUAGUUAUCCUUUUUUAAUUAGUGAAAAAAGGGGGUUUUGCCGGUCAGUAUGGCGGCACCAAAUUAAAUGCUUUUCAUAUUUUGGUCUAUUUAUAUUUUAAGUUUGUCUUUUUUUUAAAUUAAAUUUAAAUAAUCCUUAAGAAAUAUAAGAAUAAAAACAAACCACUCUCAUUUAAAAAAAAAUAAACUUCAAAAAGUAUAUAAAAUUCUUAUCUAAAUUACCUAAAUAUAGCCCUCACAAAAUUUCCUCAAGCUUAUCUAAAAUCAAAUGUUUUCAAUUCAUUCCCUAGCAUAUUUAAAUUUAGAUAAAUUUGAGGAAAUUUUUUAAUUUGAAUAAGAAUUUUAUAUAAUUUUUAAAGUAUUUUUAAAAAUAAAAAUAAAAAAUGAGAAGUAUUUUUUAAAGUAUUUUUAAAGCGUGCAGUUUUGGCAAACAUACAGUCUGCAAAAAGAUGAUCUCUUGUUUCUUGGUUCCCUUGACAUAGCAAACAAUGACCUUCAAUGCUCAUCCCUCCUCCAACAACCUUUUAGCAUGAUAACUCUUCAACUUUACAAAAAAAAAAAAAAAAUCCAUUUAAAUUUUCAUCUCUUUCAGGCAUUGAAUUUUCAUUUUUGUGACAUAACAAUUAAAUAAGUAAUUAUGCUUAACAUUUUUUAAAUUAUUUUAAGUAAUUAAUGUAAAUCAUUAAUGGAAACUACAUAAAUAUGUGAGUCCAACUUUAUUAAAAACAAGCAUAUUCCCCUGUCGAAUUGCUUUAAUAAUAAUCAUUCAACAAUCAUUAUAGCAAAUAUGAAAGCUCGAGGUUUAAAAAAAAAAAAACAAAUUUUGCUUUAGGUUAGAUUUAUGCUACUGAACAUUUCAUCUAAUAAAAAGGGUUCACGUCUCCUAGCUGUAUUUAUCACUUUAACUGUAGAGUGAGUUGAUAUUUGAAUAUUAACCUUAACUUAUCAGUUUAUAAAUCUUUAUACUCAUCUACUUGUUUUGAUUAUAUUUACAAGUAAAGAAGGAAGAGUGAUAUUAUCUUCUAAUGAAAUUUAUGUCAACAGGUUGUCAUUCCUCGUUUGGAGAAUCUGGAAUUGUCCUCCAUUAACAUUCAUAAGAUAUGGCACCAACCAUCUUCCCCAUCUGUCGGAUGCCUAAAUUCCUUGCAAGUGAACAGGUGUCACAAUUUGAAAUACCUGUUCCCGUCUUUCAUGGUAAAAGAUCUUGUGCAACUCCGACGCCUUGAAAUUUGGGACUGUAAUAUGAUGGAACAAGUAAUAUUCACGGAUGGAUUGGUUGAGGAACAUCAAGGGAGGAAUCAGAUGUUUUUCUCUGAACUAGAAAUGCUCUGGCUAGAAGACCUUCCCAAACUCACAAGUUUGUGCUUUGAAAAUUACUUUGAAUUCCAAUGUUUGACAGGUUUAGAACUAAUAAAUUGUCCAUUGCUAAAAACUUUCAUCACUAAAUGUGUAUCCGAAGAUGAACCUGAAAUUGGCCAACAUGUACAAGCUAGUAACUUGGAGGUUCAUAACUCAUCUCUCCUCAAUGAAAAGGUCAAUUCUUUACGGGUUCUCCUUUUAAUUUAUGUUACUUCAAUUGAUCUUACUCGUUUCAAGUUCUUUCUUUUCCAUGCAUAUUUCAGUUAUUAACCUAAUGAAAUGAUUUAGCAGGUUGUUUUCCCUAGUUUGAAGGAGUUGCGGAUUCAGAAUUGUGAUUCCUUAGAACAAAUUAUUGAGCUGCAAGGAGUCAUUGCUGAUGAGUCACAGUCAACAUCAGCUGCUCAAUCUAUUAUGGCUGAAACAGAGACGACCAAGUUUGUAUUUCCCAAACUAGUAAACCUCGGAUUGGAUAAGGUGCCGAGAUUGAAAAGUUUCUACUCUAGGAUGCAUGCCACCCGGUGGCCUUCAUUGAAACGAAUGGCCAUUAUUGAAUGCCCCAAAGUACAGAUAUUUACUCCACAAUGUCCUGAGUGUCAGGUUGGAAUCUCAAGCCAACAACCCUUGUUUUCCGUCAAUGAGGUGAGCUCACUAACAGUUUCAUACUCCAUGUUCAUUACUUGAGAUUANNNNNNNNNNNNNNNNNNNNNNNNNNNNNNNNNNNNNNNNNNNNNNNNNNNNNNNNNNNNNNNNNNNNNNNNNNNNNNNNNNNNNNNNNNNNNNNNNNNNUAACUAAUAUUCUCACCUUCCUUUUAAAUUUAUGAGAAAGAAAAUGGAAAUUAUAUUUAUUUUGUAGUCUAGUUCUUACUAAUUGAAAACUCUUUGAUCGAUGUUUAAUAUAUUCGUUGCCAUCCAGGACACUUUCCCUGUAUUAGAAGAACUAACACUGACGACGAAUGAUAUGGUAAAGGGGAUAUGUGAUGGACAACUCUCAUUGCAGUGUUUCCAAAACCUUAAGCAUCUUAAUCUCCAAUUCUUUCCUGAGACAUCCACUACUCUUCCGUAUUCCUUUAUUCGGUCACUACCAAAGCUUCAUAAGCUUGUUGUAGACAAUGCUUCCAUUUGUCAAAUAGUACAAUCUGAAGGACUCAGCGACCAGGAAAGGCAUACAUCAGCAUUCUAUCAGCUAAAGGAAUUAAGUUUGUCUCAACUUCCAGAGUUGACGUUAAAGACUUUUGAACCAUCUUUGCUGUCUUUCAAAAAUCUAACAACACUGAAAGUUUCAAGAUGCCAUGGGUUCAUCAAUUUAAUCGCAUGCUCAACGGCUAAGUGCCUGACGCUACUGGAAAGAUUGAGCAUAGAUGAUUGUGAGAUGAUAGAGGAAAUCAUAACGUGUGAGGCUGAAGAAAUACAAGGCGGCAUUGUAUUUCCCAAACUGAAGUAUUUGCAGCAAGUUGCCUGCCAUGUCUAGCAAGCUUUUCCUUGGCCCAUCACUCGUUGGAAUUCCAAGUCUUGCUAAUGGUGAUGGUGACGAAGUGCCCCCAAAUGAGGAAUUUCUGCCAAGGAGAUUUAAGCACACCAAGGCUGGAACAAAUGCACUUAACAAGAGAUGAGGAAGGUGAACUGCAGUGGAAAGGCGACCUUAACACUACCAUAAAACAUAUGUUCGAUGAAAUGGUACAAAUCAUUUAAAGGAUUUAAAUUCAUGUGUUUUUACAUACGUAGAUAGUUAAUUGAACAAUUCUUGGUUUGUUAUGAUCAUCCACAGAAUGUGCAAAAUUCUGACGUGACGGAGGCUACUGAUCAGUUGCCCAAGCUGGAAUAAGGAAAUAUGUUUGGGUGCUUAUGCGAAAAGCUCAAUUUCGUUUGAAUUCAAAACAAAUGGUAAUUGACUCUUCUAUUUUCAUCAUGGCUUAACUAAUGCUUUAUAAAGUGACCAUAGAGACGCCCUUUUCAUUGUAGGUUGAGUUGCUCUACUGAAGUACGAGGCUGCAACUUUUGGUAAAAUGUGAAAGGUUAUUUCAGUUUUUGUAAAACUACUAUUUGAACUGUUCCAUUUCACAUUAUACCCUCAAAAUUGAACUUCAAGUGCAUCAUGCAUGGCAUUGGGCUACAAACAUGUAAACUUUUACUCGUAAGGUUGACCCCUGUUUUAAGGAUUUGCCAACUUUUGAUGGUUACCAUAUCAAUGUCAGCUUAAAGCUAUCAAGCAUCUUUACAAAUAUAAUAUAUAUAUAUAUAUAUAUAUAUAUAUAUAUUAUUCCUUAACGAGGGAUAAAAGUAGGCAGCUAUCUACCAAUGAUACGGCUGAUUCUGAAAAGACGGCCGAAAUUGAAUCAAUGGGUUGUUGGUAUUUGCCUGAUGGAAGAACAGGGCCUAAUGUUACGUGGAUUCUGAUCAAGUUUUAAAUUUUCAGUUGUGGGCAUUACUGAUUGUUGUCAUUUGGUUGUUGAUCCUCUGAUUUUACGGUUGACUGUCUUGCUUAUACGUUGCAAGGUUGGCGGGUCUCAAGUAUGAAUUUCCAAGCCGGCUAUCAUCCAUAAUUAACUAGGUGUUCCAAUCCAUGGAGUUUAUGGUUUAUUAGUGUAACUGUCCAUUUGGUUAUGGAUUGGUUCUUAAGGUGUUUUGAUACUUUGUAUGUUACAGUGUUUGCUCCAAGCAACACCCUUUAAUUUCUAAGGAAUUUUAUUCGUUGAGGAAAAAAAAAAUGAGGAUUACUCUGAUAUUUUAUGUUUGGGUUUAUGAAGAUUUUUGUAUGUUUAAUGAAAGAAAGCAAAUAAAAUAGAGACGUACAAGAUCACAUCCAUAGAUCAACAAAAGGGUUUAAUAUUUCCAUAAAAAAUUGUCCCAAAAAGGCCUUUUUAUGGGAAUUGAUCAUAUAAACUAAUGAAGGCCAUUGAAAAUAAAGCUUGUAAAAAUUUACAAAAGGAAUUGAUGAGAAUUUGAUACACUAUUCNNNNNNNNNNNNNNNNNNNNNNNNNNNNNNNNNNNNNNNNNNNNNNNNNNNNNNNNNNNNNNNNNNNNNNNNNNNNNNNNNNNNNNNNNNNNNNNNNNNNGAGUUUAUGGCCUUGUAGGAGCCUCUCCCCAAAUCGCUAGCAAAUGAAACAAAAGGAUUAAUGCACUUCGAUAAUGGCAGAUUUAUAUUUGUUACGAAAGGUCAAGAGCCCAAGCCAUCUCAUGCGACAGCUUUCCCUUAAAGCAUUCGUGGCUGAGUCUAGUAUUAAUUUUUAUUUGUAUCUUUUAUAUCCGUUUUAUAAUUCAUAUUUGGGAUUUGUAUUAUGCACUUAAUAUUUCAUUAUUUGUUGUCUAUGUUGCUCAUUGUUGCAAAAAGAAGAACCAAACACAAUGCAUGCAUAAACCAUAAAAAAGAAAAAAAAAAGAACAUAAGCAACUAAUAAUGAAAUAUAUUAAAAUCAAGAAUGGCAAUUGAUUUCAGAAUUACCCCAAUUUCGGUAAAUAUAUUAAAACAUGUGUCUGUAAUCUGUUUCAAUUUCGAUAUUGAAAAAAUUGGUAUUUCUAAAAAUAUCAGAGUUAUUCAAUCAUUUUCAUUUUUGAAAGUGAUAAGUUAAAGACAAUUAAUUACAACGUUAAUGUUUUUCAUCAAUUAUACAUAAUUUUCUUGGUAUAAUAAUAAAUUUAGCCCUCAAAGUUGACACAUUCUAUCAAUUUGUUAUUGAUUUAACUAAUUUAACCCACAAUAUUUACACAUUUUGUCAAUUUGAUCAUGAUUUAACAUAUUUAACCCGUAAUAAUUACACAUUCUAUCAACAUUUACACAAAAUAUAUAAUCAUCAAGGAUUAAAUUUAUUUUUAUACUAAUCAAAAUUAUGUAUAAUUAACAGAAACUACUAGCGCUUGAUCUAUUGUUCGUGGUUACUUUCAAAAUUGAUAAGGAUCAAAAUUACUCUAUUUCUUUUAGAGUGACCAAUUUGUUCAAUAUCAAAAAGAUAUUUUUUACUUAUUUUAAUUUCAUAGGUAAGAAAAUCUCAAAAAAGAAAAUCUUUGAAAUAAAAAAAAAAUAGUAUGUUUUAUAUAAUUAUUUAAAGUUACUCUCACAUUAUUUUUUACACAUUCAAAGCUAGCAAGUCUUUUAUGUACAAAUGGUGUAGCUCUGCAAUUUGGAUUAGCAUGUUGGUCACCUCCAUGUGAAGUGAAAGAAAAUUGACAAUGUCACACAAUUAUUAUUUUUCCCUCCGUACCCCUAUGCCACCAAAGAAAGUUGAAUUAUCAAGGCACAAAAGUACUAAGGAGUAGGAGCUAGAAAAAGAGGGGCAUGAAAAUAAAGAGAGUUACAUAUAUUAUUAUUAUUUGCAUAAUACAAAAUUAGUCUUUAAUAUUUAAACAUAUUAUUAUUAUUAUUAUUUUAAUUUAGAUAAAUUUAGCUUUAAAUCCUUUAAAAGAGUUGAAUUUAAUCAUCAACCUUUUAAAAAGAGUCAAAUUAUUAUUUAACGGAAACGUUAAAUUUUGAAAUACAUAUAACAAUCCACGUGUAUUUCAUAUAUAUAUUUUUAAUUUUUAUGAUUUUUUUUGAAACUUUGAUUUUUGAAUAUUAUUAGAAAAUUAUUUGGUACAUUGUUAGUGGAGUUUUUAAACUCCACCAACAAAAUCAAUGGGUUGACAAGUGUCUUACAGAGGUAAAUAAAAUAUUAAAAAUAAAUAUUUAAAAAAAAAAGAUAUAUGUCAAUUUUUUAAAGUUACUUGUGAAAUAAAAAUAAUAUAUUAUCAGAUUACCAAAUACUCACAUUUUUAAUUAAGAUUUAAAAAUAAAAAAUAGUUACUAAAAUGAAUGUGUUGCAAAUUGAGAAAUUUGAUAUUGAAUAUUAAAAUUUUCUUAAAAAGAAGACAAGAUAUAAAAGUUAGUGACUUAUCUGAUUUAAUUUUAAUUUUUAAAUUUAUGCAUUUUAUUAUGAAUUUUUAUUCUUUGUGUACUCUGUAAAAUUUGUCUGAAAUUUCUAAUUUUUAAUUUUCACAUGAGUUUAAGAUAGAAAAAAAUUUACUCUUAGGAUUGGUGAAACAGGGGUUACAAUCGAUACAAGAGUUCAGUUUACGAUAUGUUGAUGAUUUUGUUCUUCGAAAUAUUGUCUACAGGUAGGAUAUCGGAAAUCUAUUAUCAGAGUUUUGUUAAAAGGUCAAGAGUUCUAUUUUGGCCUAAGACUCUAGGAGUUCUAUUAUCGAUAUUCUAAUUAUGAUCCUGAUCUGUAAAAGAUAUGAGUAACAUGUGAUACGUAACUGAAAAGUUUUAUGGUAUGAUAAACCAUAAAUUAAGUGAAAAUGUAAGAAAGUGUAUGAUUAUAUGAAAGACAAAAAUAAUUUAUUUAGUUUAAUGAUCUGUAAAAUUGAAAAGUGAAAUACAUGAAUUAUAUAAGAGAAUGUUCAUGAUCGACAUGCGGUGUGUAAAUGACAAGGAAAAAAUUAUAUGACCAAAUAGUAGAAAUGAAUAAUGAAAUUAGUUAAAUACUUUGUAAGUUCAAAAGUAGGUUGCAUUAAAUAAAUAAGAUUAUGUUAUUUCAUAGUAUAAGUAGUUUGUUAAUUUGUUUUAAUUUAAAUUAUUUAAAACAUGCUAAAAUAAAUGAAUUGGUAAGCUACCAAAUUAAUCGUGUUUGUAGAAGGCAAAAACAAUAAAGGUUGAAAGAUUUCUGCUUAAAUUUGGACCACUUCACUCCUCAAGCUUCAAGUUCAAGCUCUUUGAUAUAUAAAUUUUGGACCUUAAUUUGGCAUGCACUUAAGCUUAUUAGUAAUAAUGUGAAUUAUGUACGAAAGAUAAUGUUUUGUGUUAUAAAGUACCUCAAUGAAAUAAGAAUAAAUUGAAGUGAUGAGUUUAGUGUUAAAUGUAGCAUCUCUUACUCAAAUUUGUUAUCGGAUUGAAUGAGAGGUAUUACUGCUAGAAUAUAAAUUACCCUUUCUUUUUUCUUAAGAUAGAUGUAUUUUUUUAUUAAAUUCGUACAUAAAAUGUUAUUUUUACUAAAAUAUUAAAUUUGAAAAAAGAAUUUAAGAAAAAAAAACAUUUUAGCCAACAAUAUAUUCUUUGUAGGAUCAAAAACAUUAAUGCAAGAAACUUAAAACAAGGAAUUGAAAGUCUAGAACAAGCAAUCAAACUUAUUUUAUAUGAUCCACCAUUAAAAUUUUAGAAUAUGAUAAACAAGCAAUCAAAUAUUAAGUGCACGAUUUUAGAUUUACUGUACAAGAGCCGAGAAUGAGAAAGCUAUCACAUCAGAUGGCUUCCUAUAAUUAAUUAAACCAUGUUGCAGUACCUCUCUGGCAUCAACUUCCGUUGUAAACUUCUAUAAGCUGUCACUUCAAUGACCUUCAUCAACUUGCCGCUCUAAUCUAAAUUGUAGAAAACCAAUUGAUAACGAAUUCACAAUCCACGGAUUGUGGGCUCAUAAUGCUAAUAACAAAUCAAUGUCUCGUUAUGAUUCACGUAAUCCAUACACCGGUGGAUAGGUGCGGGGAUUGUUUGAAUCAUAAGGGAGCAUUGGUUUGUUCUUAGCAUUAUGUGUCCAUAUACCAUGGAUCGUGAACUCAUUAAGGAUUGGUGGUCUACAACUCAGAUUAGAGCUAUAGGCUAACAAAGGCCAUUGAACAAAAAGCUUACGAAAAUUACAAGCGAAGUUGAUGCCGGUAGGGGUGCUGCAAAUGCUGCUCAAAAUGAAAAGAGAAGAACAAGAGGAGUACUCUCUCCCUCUCUCUCUCUCUAUUUAUAUAUAUAUAUACUCUUCUCCAUGCUGCACAUUAUUGCAAAAAAAGAAAACACACAAGGGACCAAGCUUAGAUCUUUUCAAAGGUCAUUUGAGAUCAAAGGAGAAGAACAAGAAAAACAGAGGCUAGGGGCUCGAAGAAAGAGCCAAAUAUAUAAAGGAAAAAUUAAGUGAGAGAGAGGAUGGGUUUCAUUUAAAGAUUAAAUGUUUCUUUUUUGGUAAAAAUAUUUCUUUGAUCCCUCUCAAUUUUGAUGUUGAGCAAAUUGGCCCCUUUAUAAAAAAAUUUGGAGAAAUUUGAUCAUUGUUGAUUUUGAAAUUGAGCAACUAAGUAUAAUUAACCACAACGUUUAUGUUUUUCAUCAGUUCUACAAUUUUUUCUUGGUAUAAUAAAAAAUAUAACCUUCAAAGCUUACACAUUUUGUCAAUUUGACCUUGAUAUAACAAAUAUAACUCAUAACAUUUUCACAUUCCAUCAAGUUGGUCCUGAUUUAACAAAUUUAGUCCGCAAUAUUUACACAUUUUGUCAACAGUUACGCAGAAUAUAUAAACAUUAAUGGCUAAAUUUAUUAUUAUACCAAUCAAAAUUAUGUAUAAUGGAUAGAAAACAUUAACGCUACAAUUAAUUAUCCGUAGUUACUCACUUUUAAAAUUGAAAGGAAUUAAAUUGUUCUAAUUUUUUAAAAAGACUGAUUUACUUAAUAUCAAAAUUGAGAAAAAUCAUAAAGAUAAUUUUACUUUUCUUAAUUUAAUAGGUAAGGAAAUUUAAAAUCAUUGAAAUAAAGAAAAAGUAAGUUAUAUAUAAUUAUUUAAAGUCACUCUCACAUUAUUAUUUUUCCCAUUCAGAGUUGAAAAGUCUUUUAUGUAACAAAUGGUAUAGCUCUUCAAUUUGGGUUAACAUUUUGGUCCCCGCCAUGUGAUGUGAAGGAAAAUUGACAACAUAACACAAUCAAAUCUUUUUUUUCUGCCAUGCCCUUGUGCCUCCAAAGAAAGUUAAAUUAUUAAGGCACAAAAGUACCAAGGAGUAGAAGCUACCAAAAGAGGAGCAUGAAAAUAAAGAGAGAUACAUAUAUUACUGGCAUAAAAUAUUUACAUCUUUUAGGAUUUUUUAGUUAAAUUUAAUUUUAAAUUAAGAAAUAAUAAUGAUCAAAUUGACAAAAGAUGUAAAUAUUAAGUGCUGAAUUUAUCAUUAUACUUAUAUUAUUUUAAGUAAAAUUUUUGGAUUUGAAUUUGAAUUAGUUCAAGUUUAGAUUAUGUUGAGUUCAAGUCAGUUUAGACUCGAAUAUUUUGGGAAAUUUCAAGAGAAAAUUAGCAAGUCAAAAUUACAAUUAUAAAAUAAUAUAUAUCAUUUAUCUAUUUAUCUAUAUAAGUUUGAAUUACAAAUUAAUUUCUAAAAGUUAUUGAGGCAUUAGUAUUUGUGUUGACGCAUGGGAGUUUAGGUUCAAUCUCUUGAUUGAAAUAUUAUUUUUAAAAUAUUUUUAAAAUAUGGGAGGGUUUGGGUAAAUAUAUAGGCCCGAAAUAUGGGCUUGGGCAAAAAAUGAGGCCCGUUUAGAAAACGGGCCUGGCCUCGGGCAAAAUUUUUUAGCCUGAGCCCGGCCCGGACCGAAAAUAUAUUAAAUAUAUAUAUUUAAAAUAUACUAGUUUUAGUUUUAUUUUAAGUUUUAAGUUACAAAAUGUUAGAUUUUGUUACAACAAUUAAUACAAUUAACAAUUAAUAAUUUUACAAAAAAAAUGUUAGUAACAAUUAAUAAUUAAUAAUUUAAUAUAAUUUGAUAAUUUUAGUAACAAUUAAUACAAUUAACAAUUAAUAAUUUUACUAACAAAAUGUUAGAUUUUACAAAAUGUUGACUGGUACAAAAAAUAUAUAAUUUGAUACAAUUUUAAUAACAAUUAAUUUUAAUAACAAUUAGUUUUAAUUUUUAUAAAAAUAUAAUUUUAAUUUUAAUUAAAAAACAGACCGGACCGGGCUGGGCCGGGCUAGGGCCUAGGAAGCGGGCUGAAAAUUUUUUUGGGCCCGGCCCGAACUCGGCCCGGACCUGUCCAUGGACUCCUCUACCCAUUUACAACGAACAACCUUUUUACGUUUAGAAAGUUUCACAAGAUCCGAUAUUUUGUUUUUGUGGAGUGAUUCCAUCUCCUCUUGCAUAGCAAACAUCCACUUUUCUGAGUCUUCACAGUUAACCGCAUCAGAAUAAUUAGAUGGCUCUUGGUUUGCAUCUAUAUCUUCAGCCACAUUUAAAGCAUAAGCAACUAGAUCAGCCUCGCCAUACUUCUUUGGAGGUUUAAUUUCUCUUCUAGUUUUGUUUUUGGCAAUAGAAUAUUGUGGUGAAGAAACAACUCUAUUUUGAAUUUUUGUACUGGCUUGAGGAGUCAACUCUGUUGUAGAUUCUAGAUUAAUCUGAAGCUCCACCUGCUUUUGAUUUUCUUUAUUAGAAGAGUCUUUAAGAGAUAUGUUAGGUAGCAUAACAGUUUCAUCAAAAACAACUUCUCUGUUAAUCACAACUUUUCUAUUUUCAGGAUACCAUAACUUAUACACUUUUACACCAGCUUUAUAACCAAGAAAAACACAUUUAAUGGUACACAAUUCUAAUUUUCCAUUAUCAACAUGAGCAUACGCAAGACACCCAAAAAUCUUUAAAUUAGAAUCGUCAGCAGGAUUACUAGACCAUACCUCUUAUGGAGUCUUUUUCUCAAUGGCAACGGAUAGAGACCGAUUGAUCAAAAACAUGUAGUUGACACUGCUUUGGCCCAAAAUAACUUUGGUAAGUUGACAUUUGACAACAUACAUCGAACCUUCUCCAUGAUCGUUCUAUUCAUUCGUUCUACAAUACCUUUUUUAAAAUGUUCAUUUUCUAAAAUAAAAAACACUAUGAAUUGCAUGAAUUAUGUCCUAUGAAUUAUAAAGGAAUGCUGUUGAAAUAUUCCCAUCGAUACAUGCAUACAUAUUCGUGAAGUAUGUUCCAAUAUAAUAUCAAUAUUGGGAUUUACGUUUUAUAGAGCAACAUUAUUGGUUGGUAAUAUACAUUGAUUCCAAGGCAAAUCCAAAUAUUUUAAAAUUUAACCUACAACUGUGGAAAAUCAAACUUAAUAGUAACCCGAUUGUAAUGUAAAGUUAAAUAUGAAAGUAACAUUGGUUUAUAUAUAUAUUUUUCUCUAAAUUCUAAUAAUCAAGUUGGGAUAAGUGAUAAACACUGAGCUUGCCACGUGUGUUAACCACGUUUAUAUCAUGUGCCACUCCAAAGACAUCAGGCCUCUAUUCAGGCUGGCAUGGUCAGGACGUGGUAGCAUACUUCAGGGCCCUGGUUAGAAAAUAUCCCAUAUCGCUAAAGAACUAUAACACAGGAGCGUUUAUAUAAGCGAAAGAAGCAGCAAAUGAUUGUCCCUUCGGGGACAUCCGAUAAAAUUGGAACGAUACAGAGAAGAUUAGCAUGGCCCCUGCGCAAGGAUGACACGCACAAAUCGAGAAAUGGUCCAAAUUUUUUUCCCUUUUUUUUUCCCGCAGUUUUACAGCUCUGUUUCUUUUUUUUUUUUCUGGGUUUGGUGUUCAUAUUCAUGGGUUUUUGUGCACUUAAGAUUGCAAUUAGAGUUUUCUUUCUUUCUUUUACUGGGCUCGGUCUGUUUUACUCUCUUGAACUGUGAAUUUGAUUUUAUUUUUUUUGCCAUUUUUUCAGCUUUGUUGCUUUUAUCCCCCUGGGUUUAGUUUUCAUGUUCAUGGGUUCCGCGCACUUAAGAUUGCAUUAGAGUUUUUUUCUUUUUUUUUUCUUUUUACUGGGUUUUGGCCAGUUCUACUCUGUUGAACCGUGAAUACCUCAAGUUUUCUGGGAAUAAAUUGUUGCUUAUAUAUUUGCUGGUCAACAGUGCUAAUUUUCUGAUAUAUUGGCCAGAAUUGAAGGAUGAAGGUCCAACUUUGCUUUUGGUCCUUCUACUACUAUCUUAAGAUUUAAAAGAAAUUCAAUUAAACAAUUUCUUCCAAUAAAAUUAAAUAAGAAGGCCCAGAAAUUGACCUGCACACUUAGACAUGUUUCUCUUUGAAAAAAAUUCAAACAGGAUUUUAAAAUUUGCAAUGUGUUUUAUGUAAAUCAAAUGAUAUCCUGAAUUUUGCUAAGGGUGCUUCAUAUCCUUGAAUCCUUUUUUUGCUUGGCAAGUGAUUCAUUGAGUUUUUGUGAUCAAAUUUCAUGUUUCCUUUUUUAGUACGGGAAUUUGUGGGAAAAUGCUUGGCAAUAUGGAAAUGAAACCAAUUUCCAUUUCCAAAGGCACCAGCAAAGUGGUGAAGCUUAUUAUUGAAAAAUUCUUCAAUAAUGUCAAUAAUGAAAAAGUAGAAAAUGGAAAAACAGAGAAUAAUUUGGUUCUUCAUCCUAUUUGUAGUUAUAGUGAAUGGAUUUCUUUGAUUUUAGUAACUAAUAUUAUGAUUCCAACAUUUGGGGUUUUAAUCUCACUACAUGAACUUGGCUUUGCUUCUUAGUGUUAUUGUUCAACUUUUUAGGAUACCUCUAUCUUAAUCCAUUUAUGUGAUUUGAUAAUGAUAUUUGCAGGCACUUAAAUCUUCCAUUGAAAUGGAGAACACCAAUUACGACGAGGAGCUGAAGAAUGAUUGCAGGCUUGUUUGCAGUCUCAUAUACGAUAUUAAUUGCAGAAAAGAACGGUUGUCCCAAAUGGAACGUGAAUAUAACGAGAUGACCGCAACUCUUCGAGGACUCAUCAAUGGCCUCAUAGCAAAAAUUAACUCCAAGGACAGUAAUCUGUGGGGUUGGGAGCUUCAAUAUAAUGUAACCGUGAGACAGUUGAAGGGCAAGAAUGCUGCGUUGCGCCUUUCGUUUGCUGAAGGUACUUUACAUUAUAUAUGUGUAUGUAGUGAGCAGAAUACUAUGUGUUAAUUGAAUCGUUUGGUACCCAUUGAUUGAUCUAUAUAAAUGUCAGGAUUUGAACCCCAAACUUAGCUUUUAUUACGGGAACCGGAUCAAUUUAGGCUCGGAUAAGCUUAAUGGGCUCAGAACCAGAUAAGAACAUAAUAUAUGGGAACACUUUGGCCAUACGAGGCUAAUGCUUAUAUGAUUCGCAUUACAGACUACAUGCACUGUUAGUUGAAUAGCUUUAUGAUGUAUUAAUCUAUAAAAUCUGGGUGUCAUAUUAUGAGUUCCAUUGCUAUGUUAAUCUAUGUACUAACAAUAUUAUGAAGUAAGGCAAUUUUGUGUACAUUAUAUUGGGAUGCAAGCUGAAUUCCUAUUAAUCAGCUUCAACCAUACAUACAUACAUACAUACAUACAUACAUAUAUAUAUAUGAAGUUAAGAACGUAAGUGCUGUUAAAUGGUACAUUACUCAGAUUGGUAAUAUAUUGGUGCCGAAUGUUCUAAAAUUUUACCAGCAUUACUGGUAAUAUAUUAAUGCCAAAUUUGACUAAUUAUUGUUUAUAUAUAUUCAAAAAUUUCAGAUUUGAUAAAGAUAAAAUGGCAAUAAUGAAUAAAAAUACUAACUUUUUGAGAUCUUAUUUAAUGAAGGGAAGUUGAAUAUGGAAACUAAAUCGACCUAAGGGAAAUAAAAGCAAAAUAUGGAAAAUAUUUCUCGGGAAAACAAGUGUUAUCCUUCAUAUAUCUUGAUGAUUCUCUAACGCCGCCAGUUUUCCCCCCUAAGUUUACAGCAAGAAGAAGAAGAAAAAGAAGACAAACGGCAACGUUAAGCCAUUUUCAUCCCAGGUUAAUUUUCUUGUAAAUUAAACAUUUUUUGUAUACAUUUUGUUACCUAUUUAUUUUAUGGUUAUGAUUUGCCGAGUGGACAUUUUCAACAAUGUGGAUUGUAUCUGAUACAGCCGAAAGAGAAUGUGCCUUGUCGAGAUCUUGUUGAACUCGAGAAAACUACGAGCGAUCAGAUUGCUGCUCUAAAGGAACAAUUGGAGGAAACAUCAGAGGCGUUGAAAGAUAUGGAAAGCCGAUACAGUUGUCUUACGGUGAAACAAAUCUUAAUUAAUCGAGAACUGCAAGAUGCUCGAAAAGAAUCAAUAAGUGUAUUUCCUCGUUUUCCUUUGUUUUCUUGGAUGUUUUAUUUCUUUAGGUGCAAGAAAUACCUCUUCGGAAUCAGGUAUGAAAGUGUUAAACCGAAGACUUCUCUGGUUCUUGAUAUGCAGGGUCUAAAUGAUGUAUUGACAAGCCGAACAACUCUUGUAGUAAAAAGAAUGGGAGAGAUCGAUCAAAAAGCUUUUGAAGUUGCUAGCUCUGGGAAGUUCCCGAACAAAGAUUGGCAAGAAACAUGUGCUAAAUUAUGUUCAUUAUGGCAACAAAACGUGCAGGAUCCGAAAUGGCACCCCUUUAAGAUGAUCAAUAUCCGAGGCAACUUGCAGGCAUGGUGCAUACACCAACUAUUCUGUUAUCCGGUUAUCGAAAAUCCAUUUUUUUACUAAACGUGCUAAACAUGUAUGUCAGAAUCGAGCCAGUUUAUUACUCAAACUUAGAUAUAUUAAGGGGAUGGCUACUCGGUAGUGUAGGAAAUAGUAGACGAAGACGACGAGAAGCUGAAGGAGUUGAGAAAUGAAUACGGUGAUGUCGUGUACGAGGCUGUUAGCACCGCAUUGAUGGAAAUGAACGAAUAUAAUGCGAGCGGAAGGUAUGCAGUCAUUUAAGCUAGCUGAGUGACCUACAAUCUAGUUUAUCAUUUUUUAAAUAUUUAGUCUAUGAUUUUUUUAUUUUUUUAAGGAUUUGUGACUUUUCUUCCAAUAAUAUAUCUCCAAAAUUCUAACUUAACCUUUUUAAACUUUGUCAUGUGAUUAUUAUUAGAGUUAAUUGCACCAAAUAUCUCCAAACUAUGGCCCUUAUUUUAAAAUAGUCCUCAAACUCAAAAUAUUGUAAAUUACAUUUCCAAAUUAUCAAUAUUAUAUCAAUAAUGUUCUUUUGUUAUUAAAAUCAUUAAAUGAGACGUCAAAUCUUAUGAGACAUAAUUUAAAAUAAAAAACUUAAAGAAAAAUGAAUAUUGUAAAAUAUUGAUUUGAAGGUUUUCGAAGCUAUUACAAAAACUAUCAUUCAUUUUCUCUUUUACUUUAUUUUUAAUUUUUAUUUUUAAAAGUUGUAUCAACAACAUUUUACUUUUCUUUAAAAAUAUCAUUUUAAAUUAAUAGUGUCAAUAAUAAAAGGAUGAGAUAAAUAGUUUAAAAUAUUUUAAAGUUGGGAAAAUAAUUUAAAAUAAAGAUGCAAUAUUGUUAAUCUAGUACUAUUUCAUAAUAUCAUUUUAUCGUUUCAACUUUUAAAGACUACUUUUUUUUUUGAAAUAUUUUAAAGACAACAUUUAAAGAUUGAUUAUAAUAAUAUUGUUGCAUGGAAAAAGAAUUUCCACGUCAGCAGAAAGGCUUACGCCUGACGUGUGCUUAGUAUUAUUAGAAAAGUCAAAGGUCGAGAAAGUCUAAGGCGGGUCACACAUAUCACACGCCAUGCACAGGUUUCCUUAUUUCGAGGCUAAAAUACCAAAAUACCAUCACAUUUCUUGUUAAAUUUAUCACUUAAUCAACAAUCCUCUAAAACGAAGUAAGGACAUACUAGAAAUUUUAAUCGCAAUAAUAUCACCAAAUCUGAAAUAUUACAAAUGAGGCAAAAAAAAUACGAGUAAUAUUUGGCCAUAAAAUGUAAAUAUUCAUUCCCUCUAAACCAGUCGGUUAAGCCUCACAAUCCAACGUAACUGUAAAUCUUUCUUGGCAGCCAUGAAAUCAGUUCUAAAAUCCCUUGCAAACUCAAUCUUCCUUGUUCUUUUCAUCAUCUUUUCAUCUUCUAUUCCACUUGUAUUGGCUCAAUGUGAAGCAGAGACCAAGACUAAUGGAUGCCAUAACUACAGAGAAUCCAUGAAGCUAAAAAUCAUCGCCAUUGUCGCAAUUUUACUAUCCAGCAUGAUUGGCGUGUGUCUACCAUUGUUUUCUGGUCAGGUUCCGUUACUUAAACCCGACAGGGACUUGUUCACCAUUGUCAAGGCAUUUUCCUCCGGUGUUAUUCUAGCGACUGGGUACAUGCACGUUCUACCGGAUUCUUUCAACGACCUUAUGUCCGGGUGUUUGCCUGAAAACCCAUGGAGGAAGUUCCCUUUCACAACCUUCGUCGCAAUGCUGUCGGCUGUGUUGACCCUUAUGGUGGAUUCAUUUGCAAUGAGUGUAUACAAGAAACGUUGCGGUAAAGCUUUAAUGGCGGAUGCUAACAAUGGUGGUGGAUUGGAAAAUACGAACAUUGUACCGAUCGAUAAUUUUGAACACGGCCAUAGCCAUUCACUUGAGAUGAAUGACGACGUAUCAUCACAAUUGUUAAGGCAUCGAGUUAUUGCUCAGGUAUAUACAUGUUUGAAUCCUCAAAUUCGAUGGUUUUGCUUUUCAAGUCUUUACAUUAUAUAUUUCCUAAAUGUAGGUAUUAGAGUUGGGAAUUGUAGUUCAUUCAGUGGUGAUUGGUCUUGCAAUGGGAGCCUCUGGCAAUCAAUGCACCAUUCGAUCACUCAUUGCUGCCCUUUGCUUCCAUCAAAUGUUUGAGGGGAUGGGACUUGGUGGAUGCAUACUGCAGGUAACCAACAUUGCACUAUUUUCUCAUUCAAACAUCCAUUUAGUGUACAAUAUUGAUUAACAUUAUGUUUGAUAUGUGCAGGCUGAAUAUGAGAUAAAAAUGAAAGCAAUCAUGGUAUUCUUCUUUUCAGCCACAACGCCACUUGGAAUAGUUCUGGGAAUUGGUUUGUCCAAUGGUGGGACUACUUAAUGCUUGCUCAGCAGGGUUGCUGAAUUACAUGGCACUGGUUGAUCUCCUUGCAGCUGAUUUUCUGGGCCCUAAGCUUCAAACAAAUAUGAAGCUCCAGGCUUGGUCAUAUGUUGCAGUUUUACUUGGUGCUGGAUUUAUGUCUUUGAUGGCAAAAUGGCCUUAGUCAUUUCAACAUAUAAAUGUCUUUUUGUAGUUUUUUAAUUUUUUUUUUUUUUGCUUCAACAGAUGAGUUUAUAGUGAAUCAACAGUUGUUCAAUCAAUUAUAAAAUUUAGGCAAAGAAUUUAGGCAACAAGGCUUCAACAUUGAUCUUUAAGAUCGUUUACUCCAUAUUGCAGGGCUCAUCACAAAGUAUAUAACUAUAUAUAUCAGAGAAGUAUGCAAACUUCAAUUUUGUGUCAGUAUCAUUAUAGUUUAAACUGUUUAAUGUUAAAUCAGAUGUAGAUGUCUUUAAGCCAAUGCUUAUAGCCACAAAGUCUCUUUGGUGCAAGCUAUAAGGACAGAGUUAUGCUAUAAAUAAACAAAUAAAUGUUGUAUAAAACCCUUCUCCUCAAAGACAAAACGAUAGCGACAGCCUGCUUUCGGUAGAUGGAAGAUUUUCUAUUUCCUCCAUUUACCAUCUCUGGUUUGCUUAUCUGCCUUGUUGCCCUAUGUUGGUUGGGCCAAACAAAUAGCUUGAAAUCUUUAAGUAGCACUUUCAUCCCUCCAGUUAUAUAUGCAAUUUUAUAUGUUGAACCAUCAUACCAUGCCAAUUCACUGCACAUUAAUUGACUAGUACCUAACAGGAUUAAUUUACAGCUUACUAGAAUCAUCCACAAGACUUUGAGGGAUUAAUUGGGGCUUAAAUAUCAAAAAGGCUUCUACUGUUUCUGUUUUUUGUUCAGAAGUUUCAAAUGGAUCAAUAGUUAAAAGGUGAUAAUAGGAUGAGCAAGUGACUGACAUUAAUAGUGACCACAUAUCAAAAGAAAUAUAAAGAAAGAAGGAAGAGCAGAAUUAUUGAAAAAGUUUGAUCAUGUGGCUAUACUAUAUAUAUUUCAAUGCGCAGAAAGGAGAUAUAUGAGGCAAAUAAUUUUGUCCUAUUCAAAUAAAAAAAAAUGGGGAGGCCACAAUAGACCAAAGUGUCCCCUCAUGCAAUAACAGGCUUUUUGUGAGUGGCUUUGGUAUAGUAUACCCUGUGAAUGAGCACUUAUUUGCCUCCACACUCUUUUAUAGGCCCUAUGAGGAUUUAGCUAUAUCGCAGAAGUGAGGUUAAUUUUAAUGAGACUAAUGAUACAAUGAAACAAUAUUUUGAGUGUUGAAAUUAAAUUGAAUAUUUUUAUGGUAUCGAAAAUGUAAUUUUACUAUUUUAAUAGUUUAUAUAUAAUUUUACAAUUAUUAAUAUAAAAUUUUAUAAAUUACAAAUUGGCCUAAAUGAAUUUUUUUUUUAUUUUAAGGAAACUGGCAAUAAGAAUCAAAUUUUGACUUAUGAGGUUAUAUAUUAUUUUUCAGUAAUUGAUUUUUUUUUUUUCGUUUUGGGUAACAUUUUCCCUAUGUAUUCAUUUAGUUGCCUUACAAAUAAUGUACAUUAUUGUAAAGAGAGUCGAUGUAUUAUUCUUCAAUACUUACCUCAUUUUUUAUUACCCUUUAUUUGCUAAUAAAAGACAACGUUUACAUUGGGACCAUAAUUUCAUGCAGAAAGGGAAAAGACUUUGCCAUUCCCUAAUAUCCUUCUCUAAGCAAAGGAGGUCUAUGUACUAGUGACAAAUGGGUUCAUAUCCGUCUCUCUUCGGAUUAGGAUUACCACCUAUUUGAACCGGUUUAAGUUUGAGUAUUUAGAAUUUGGAUAAUUUUGAGUUUAGAUUGUCUCAAUUUAAAAUAAGUAUUUAGACUAGUUGAUCCACGAAUCGGUUGAACAAACGACCGAGUUUAUUUUUUAAAAUAUAUAAUUUUUAAUUUUUAAUAGUUUAUUCAAUUAAACUAAUUGGACUGAUUAAAUUGGGUAGAUGUGGUUUCUAUUGCACACAAUCUAAUGAAAGACUCUUACAAGGUGAAAAGUACAAAAAUUUAUAGAAAUGAUUUAAAGUUUAGGUAAAUAACUUAAUGAAAAAUAGACAUGAUUAGUGGCGGAGCCCUGGUCCCUCUAAAAUAGAAUUAAAGUCUUUUAUAACUUAUAAAAUUUUAAAUUAGUAAUGGUAAAAUUGCACUUUCUUCCCCUAAAAUUAAUAAAAAUUUGAUUUAACCUUUUAAAAAUUAUAAAGAUAUAAACUAUUAAAAUGGUAAAAUUGUAUUUUUAUUAUCGUAAAAAUAUACAAUUUAAUUCCGUCCCAAAAAAUUUUCUUACUUCGCCCUGUAUAUCAUUAAUAGAAAAGCUAAAAAUAUUAAGUAUACAAUAAUUAAUUAGGUUGAACAAUUUUUGUUGGGAAUCUAUGUUAAAUAGAAUAUAGAUUAGCUAUUAAAUGUAAAAUGGCAAAAGAAUAAAUUAUAAUGUGUACAUAAGGUUGAUUUCGUAAAACUAAAAAUUACCAAUUUUUCAUGUCUUUGUCAACUAUUAUACACUUGAGAUGGUAAGAGCCUUUUUUACUUUAAUCGUUGGUUAAUGAUUCGAUCAUUGCCUUAGGUAUAGAGUAACUUUAAAACUCGUGACCAGUAUCCACCCCGUUAAUGGGCCUAUAGAAUGCGGAGGGUUAGUUAUUGGGCUCGCUCUAAUAGAUAUAUUGAGAAAUUAAAAAAAAUGGAAUAAAAAAUGUAAUAAAUUUGACAUUUGAAGUUGUUUAAAGUUAUAAAUUAAAUUGGUGAUAUAUAAGAGAUAUUUUUAUUUGUGUUUAUAGAGAAUUGAAGGAAUAAAAUUUUAAUAUUAACCGCAAAUAAUAUCCUCAAAACUUAAAGUUAUAAUAGUGAAAUAAUAUCAAACAUGCAAUCAAUUACAUUAUUUUAUUUUUUAAUUUUUAUUAAAUAUAGUCAACAUUAUAUUUGAAAAUCAAUAUUACAUAUUGAGAAUUAAUUAUUAUGAACACUUUAUUGUGGGGUUUUUUACAUUAAUAAUAUAAAAUAAAUAAAUAUUAAAAUAGGAUAAGGGGAUUAAUAUUUACGAGAAUAGGUAAAUGAAAGAGUGAAAUAUCGAUGUCGUCUGACCAAUCGGCGGCACCACUUUAUUUUAAUUUUGUUCAGGUGUAGUCUGACCAAUCAACGACUCCAGACUAAAAUGUGAUGAUCUAAAAGGAUAAAUUGCACCCUAAAUCCCCCUUAUUUAUUAUUAUUUCUUAUUUUUCUUUAACACCAAAAAAUAGGUUGGCCCUUUAUAAAUUAGUCUAAAUUUUUUUUACCAAAAAGUAUUUUUGUAAGUAAGCCGUUUCCAUUUGGAAAUAAAUUUUAUUUAUUUUUAAAAAAUAUUUAUAAUUUUAUUAUCCAUUUGAUUUGCGUACACAGUAUAAAAUUAUAAUUAUAAAAUCUUUAGAAAAAUCUUAUUAUGUAUAAAUUAUAAUUAUUAGUUAAAUUUAUAGUUUCCAAAUAUAAUGAGAGAAAAAGAAAACUACUAAAAAUACAGUUAAUUGUAAUGUCAAACAUAAUGUGAUUUUUUUUUUGGAAAAUAAAUAAAAUUUAUUUCAAGUUGGAAUCGUCUUACUUUCAAAUAUACUUUUUGGUAAAAAAAAUUUAGACUAAUUGAUAAGAGGCCAAUUUAUUUUUGGAGUUAAAAGAGAAUAAAAUUUAAUAAUAAAUAGGGGGUUUAGGGUGCUAUUUAGCCUUUUAAAAUUUGGUGCCAUCAUAAUGUCCGACGCACCCUUGAAGAAUUUUUCGACUGUCAAUUAAAAUGGAAAAUUUCAUAUAAGGUCCCUGAAAUCUUUAAAUCAUCACAUUUUAGCCUGGUGCGGCUGAUUGCUCAGGCUGCACCCGAAUUUUUUUUUUAAAUAAAGUGAUGUCGUUGAUUGGUUAGGCGGCACCGAUAUUUCACUAUUUCAUUUGACUAUUCUCAUAAAUAUUAAUCUCUUUAUCCUAUAAUGUAUUUAUUUAUUUAUUUUAUAUUAUUAACGUAAAAAAACCCUCUAUUGUGACUUGCGGAAACGUAGAAUGAAAACCAAUUAGGGUGUGCUUUUUUUUUUUUUAGUUUUUCUUGAAUUAAAAUGCAACCAAUAAUAUUAAUGACAUACAUAUAAAUUAAUUAAUAGUGUCUCUCUCAAAGAUGAUAUUGACAGUAGUGAGUUAGAAAAUGUUUUUGAGAGACCCAAAUUAAUGUAAAAAUAUACAAUUUAAUUAAUUUAAUAAUUUUAUAAUAUUUAAAGAACUAAAUCAAAAAAUUUUAUCAUUUUAAAGAAGAAUAAAGUAUAAUUUUACUUUUAUUAAUUUAAAAUUUUAUAAAUUAUAAACAUUAUAGAUACUGUCAGCCCCUAUGACUAUGUAAGCCUUGAAAACAUCCUUCCUUAUUGCAUGUCUUUUUCUACUUUGACAGUGGUGUGCUUUCUUUGAUCUAGCCGCUCCUUUAAGAUAAAAUUUCCAAAAAGAGUAGAUAUUAUAUGAGGAAUAGUUGGUUAAAGAAAGAAAAAAAUAAAAAAAAAAUUUGGCAAAUGACCUUUCAAGAGCUUUAUUUAAUACAUGGAUACUUAAUAAUUCAUUUAUUUAAUUACUUAUUUUAGGGAUCGAACAUAUGUCUUUUUCAUUUCGUCGAAAAUUAAUUUUAGAGUAUAAACUCCUAUGACCUCCCCCUCUAUGCCUUGCAGUAAUGAUUCCUCUAACAAUUUCUCAAUUUAAUAAAAGAAAAAAAAAUGUGAAUAGGUCUUAAAUAAUGAGAGAUAUGUAAAAAGAAGGCCCGAGUAUGCCCAAUCCUAAUCCCUAAUCCUAAAUGGAAUGUAAUGACAUAGGGAUUCAUAUGUAAAAUUUUAUAUUAAUAUAGUAAUAUAAUAUUACUAAUAUUACCAACUCCUUUUUCAUUUUCUAGUUUAUUUUCUAUUUUAGUAUAUUUUACAUCUAAGUUAUAUAGAAUUUUUUAUAUAGAUAUAAAUUUUAUUUAAUCAAUCAAUUUAAUAGAUUAAAUUUAUUUUAUUUAGUUUAGAGUUAUAAAUAGAGAUAAUUAGAGUAAAAAAUCAUUUAUAUAUUUUAUGAUUGCCAACAUUUCUCUCAAAGACAAGUAUAUAUUGUACAGACCCAUUUUGCCCUAGCCCAAACUCCCAAUACCCAAAACAAAACCCAAAACCCAUUUACAAAAAUAGGCUUAAACUACCCAAACCCUAAUAGCCCAAAGCAUCAAAUCAAAAAAAUAAAAAAAAACCUUGCCCUAGUCUGUUGCCGCCGCACCUAGUGGCCCUCUGACACCACCCACCGCCACCAACUCGGCCACUUGCACUUGCAAAGACAGAAAAGAAAACACGCAAGCAGUAGAAGUAGCAAAAAAAAUUUAAAAUCGGUGAUAAAAACCGAAUGUAAUAUCAAAAAUGGGGAGGGGAGAACCGAUCUUGUUUUGUAAAAAAAGGGACUCUUCUUCUUCUUUUUUUUCGGAUAGAGCUAGAGAGUUUUUUUUUUUGUAUGAACACCCAUAUAAAUCAAGGGCAAAAAUAGAUUCAAAAAAAAAACAAAUAGAUCCAGUCCAAGGUGAUUUUCAGUUUAUAUUUCUUUUUCUUUUAUUUACUUUUAUCUUUAUUUUAUUUUUUUUCCUCUCCAAAAACAGUCCAUAUACGUACAAAUACAUAAGAAGAAAAAAAAUAUAAAAAAAAGAAAAAAAUUACCUUUUGAAUUUUCCACGGUGGCCGAUGCGACGCCGGCACGAUGGAGGUACGGCAGGGCCUGGCCGGGAACUUGACCUGGUCCAGAGGGAGCUCCCUUUUUUUUUUUAAAUCAUGGAACCAAAUGAUUUUUUUUAUCUAAAGAUGGGCUUUUAUAGGCCCCCGAAACGACGUCGUUUUGGGCAGGCCUCUCAGACAUCAAAACGUCGUCGUUUUGAUGCCGUUCAACAGCUCCAGGCUAGGAUCCGCUUGUUUUUGUCGGAAAAACUAAUUGCAUCUUUAGCCCUUCCACUUUUUAAGGAUGUUUUAAUCAAGUUUUUUUUGUUUUUUUUAAUUUUUCCACGAUUACAACUUAAUCCUCGCUAGAACGGCGCCGUUUAAUCUACGUGGGAUUAUUUCGCUUUGGGUCCUCUUUUGUUCACGCGCAUUGCGAUUUAAUCCUUUUUGUUUUUUUACCUUUAAUUACGGCCCUAAAACUUUGUUUUUUUUUCGAUUUGAUCCUUAAUUGGCUAUUAUAAAACUCAGUUGUAAAAACAAGAACUAGCUUUGAAAAUAAAUCCAGACGAGUUUUAAAAAACCUAUGGCUUUCUAAAUCUCUCUCAUCUCUUCUUGCUUGAAAGUAGAAUUUCUAUGGAAGAAAAUCUCUCAUGAGUUUAAGAGUAUGCUCUGUGCUUGCCAUAAACGUGGAUCCUGCAAAUCAGAAAUUAAACAUGAUAAGAGAUAUCAUUAAGUUUAGGUGAGUUUGAAGAAGUAGUCUAGUCCAGAUUAAUUGAGAUUAACAGCUAAAAGGCAGUGCCUAGUUAAUGGCCGAAAAUGGAGGGAAAGGCCUGUGUUUUGGCAUAGCAUACCUGCUGUUAUGAUCUCUUAAUCUGUGCUAUCUAUCUUGGCUUCUUACUCCCCUACGCCUCUGCCAAGGAGAUCAACUCCAAUUUUUGAUGUUAACAGAUUUUUCACGAUUCUUCAUAAUUAUUUUAUUGGAAAUCCUGAUGAUCAGUUAACACUGAAAAGAAGAGAAUUCUUCAAGCGAAAAUGCUGUUCCUAUAAGAAGAAAGACUUGACCAAGCAUUUCUAUACAAUGAUGAAGCUCUUUUAUGCUCUUGGAUCAGAAUCAAGCUUGAAGCAGGCUGUUGUAUCUUCGCUACCAGAUCUUUUCAUGGGCUUUAUAGCACUUAAGCUCCAGCUGUUCAAUCCUUUUUUCAUUAAUAUUGUUAUACGGCAUUAUUAUUUAUUAGUAUCUUUAUUUCAUUUAUGUAUUAUUUUAUUUUAUUUAAAAAAAAAAACUUAUAUAAAUAUGUGCAUAUACUCUCUAAUGUAUAUUUUAAAGUUCUCAUAAGUAUGCUGUUAUUUCAUUUUUUUUUACAUAUGCUCAUUUUUAUAAUAUACAUAUAUGUACAUUAUGUUUAUAAUAUAUAUACGUACUUUUAUAUAAAUAUCUAUGCAUCCGUAUACAUCUUUUAGUUUUCAUAAAUAUAUAAAUACAUAUUUGUAUAUAUAUAUAUUAUAUUUUAUACCUUAUAUUAUUUAUAUAUCUUUAUAUACGUAUUUUUUUUAAUUUUCAUAAUAUAUAUUUAAUACCUUAUAUUACAUAUAUCUUUAUAUACAUAUUUUUAAAUUUUCAUAUAUAUAUAUACAUACUUAUAUAUUUUUUUUAUACUUUAUAGUUUUAAUAUACAUAUAUGCAUAUACAUACUUAUAUAUCUUCUUAUUUUUUUAUAUAUUCAUUUUCUUUAUUUACUUCUUUAUUUACGCUUUCAUUAUUAUUUAAAAAAAAAUGUUUCAUUUUAUUUUUAUAUUAAUUUGUCUCUUUAUUUAUCUUAUUUUUUCGUUAUUAUCACUCGUAUUGUUUUUACACCAUCGUAUUUAUUAUUGUUUUGUUAUGCGUAUCCAGUGUAAUUUGUUUUCGCAUUUUUCACGACAUCAGAUUUUACUUUAUUCAAUAUAUCAAAUCUUGUUUUUUUCUUAUUUCGAUAUUCGAAAAAUCACACCUUAAUUUACGGGGUUUCGAUUUUCUCGACAAAUCUAAAUACGUGAAUCAUUUCAAACAAAAGUUCUAUGUGCUCUUGGGAAUUAACGAAAGAUCGUGUUCUAACUCACGAGACAUGAUCUCUUUCCUAAACCCGAGAUAAUUAAAUAUCUUUCAAAAUAAAUAAAUUUUGACACUCAUUCGCGUAUUGGGAAUUCAAGACAUUGUGUUCUAAUUUAUGGGAUGCAAUGCUCUUUCUCGAUCAAUGUGAAGUAUGUCAUUUUUUCUUUUCAAAUACUUUUCGUAUUUCAAUAAAAGAUCGUAUUUUAAAUCUCUUCAAAGUUUUCAAUCUUCGACACUAGGACAUUAAUUAAUCAACUAGGUACUAAUUUUGGGCGUUACGAGAGUGCUAAUUCUUCCUCGUACGUAAUCGACUCCCGAACUCAUUUUUUUAAUUUCGUAGACCAAAAUCGUUGUUUUAAUAAAAUUAAAUCGUUUAUUAAAAACAACUACUUUUCAAGGUAAUCCGAUCACAACUUAUCAAAAAAGAUUGGUGGCGACUCAUACAUUCAUUUUUAUUUUUCAAAAUCUAAGUUAAUCUCGUUUUGUUAAAAAAAUGGUGUCAACAUAUAUAUAUAUAUAUAUUAGCACCAAUUCAUCCCAUUUAAUGCAAACAUAUUAAAUAUUUAUAUGUCCAUAAUAUAUAUAUAAAUUGGGCUCUUAAGAAAACCAUGGAAUUAAUAAUGAUAAUUUGGUAGAAGACAUUUUAGGGUAGUUGGCUAGUCAUUACUGAGCUGUUUCCACGAGACUUCCUUUCCUUAAAGUAAGAUGAAGUCAUCUUUCUCAAAUCAUUACUUUCUGGCUUUGCACUGUUAAGAAAAAGAAAAAGAAAAAAAGACAGAAGGGGGAAAAUUAUAAGUUAUUGAUCAAAGCCAAAAGGUACGCCAUCUGCUUUUCUUUUCCAUGCUUUGCUCUUACUCUUUUGAAAUACUUGUCCGUAUAAAUAAGCUUAGGCAGGCAGUUUUAACCAUGAAAAUGGACUUCUUUUAUGCUUCAAAUCUUUUUAGCCCUUCUACUUUAGCUUUAAGAUUCUGAGUCCUGUACUUUUUGGAUUUAAAAUCUUCAUCUUUCCAUUUAAAUUUACCCUUAGUGUUGUUGACCUGACAAAUAUAAAAGGAUCAAAUAAAUUUUUUAGCCUUAAUUUGAUCUUUACUUUUUAAAAUUACAUAAAAAUUCAGAAUUAAAAAGAAAUCAUAUUUCUCCUAAAAUCCAUUAAAAAAUUGUGGAAAACACACUUUAAAGUUCGUGGAAAAAAAGGGAAAAGAAGGGGUGACUAUUAGGAAAGCUGCAUAAGCACUUUUGUUUGUGAUCUAUCAACAACUUGUGCCUUCCACAUACUGCAAUAUGGUUAUUAAGAGGUUGAGUACUGCUUUAUCUUGUAGAAGAAGGAUUUGUACUAGAUCUGAUUAUAGGUUGGGUUAAUGGAAAAAUUUUAGAUUUGUUUUUCAGGUCCGGCUGAACUAGAAAAAUAAGCCUAAAAUUUUACUUAAGCUCAAUCCAGAUAAAAAAUACUAAAUCUAAACUGGUCCGUAUUAAAUUUUUUAGAUUAUUUUUAUAUAAAAAUAAAUUUUAAAAAUAUAAUACAUCUAAUACUCUAAAAAUAUUAAAAAAUAAAUAGUUGCAACUUAGCGAACAAAUAUUUCUAAAAUAAUAGCAAAAUUAAAAAUAAAAUAAAAAUUAUACAAUAUCUAAAUAAUAUUUGCAAAAUAAUAGUAAUAUAAUAGGGAAACAGUAGCAAAAUAACAACAUAACAGCAAAAAACAACAUAAAAGCAGUAAACAGCAGCAAAAAAAAUAGUUAAAUUCGGGUCAGGUCCAAACUAAAAGAAAUCUUGUCCGAGGCUCGCUCGUUCAAAAUGCGAAUCUUAUUAUUUUUAAAGCUUAUUUUUUGUUUUGGAUGGACUUUGUAAGUCGACUCAUGAACAAAGUCUACUUUAUAGUGAAUACUAUAUAUGGUUGGAAAGAUGGUUUGAUAGGGUACUAAAAUUAAAUGAAAAAUCAUUUAAAAAACAAAUUAAAUAUUCAAACAUUAAAUAUAUAUUUUAUAUAUAAUUGGUUUGAACUAAAUUAACAAAUACUUUGAUAAUUUUCAGAAAAUUCCUGUAACAAGAAAAUUAGUCACUGUUGCUAGCUGUUAAUAUCUUUGAUUUCGAUUAAAAGAAUUACCAAAAUACUUUUUUUGAAUAUGAUAUAGUGCAAGUUGCACAAGUAGUUUAAAAUUUGAAGAUAUUAUUACUAUUUAAGGAGUAAAUAUAUUUUUUAAAUCAAAACAUUUAAUAUACUUUCUUAUUUUCUAUUUUUUUUAAAAAUUAACUAAAUUAAAAAAUGUUCAACAAACUAAAUAGUUAGAAGUUUUAAAUUUAAAUCAAAUUUGAAAUGUAUGAUCUACAUGAAUAUACCAUAAAAUAUAAUGAUUGUAUCAUUAAAAUAUUAAUCAUAUAAAUAGUUACGAAAGUGUGUAAAAUUGCUUUAAUUUUUACCUUGUGUAAGUAGAUCAUUCCCCUUAAUAUUAAUAAAUUUUCAUUUUGUUAUAACAUAAUAUUUAAAAUAUGAAUUAAUGAUUUCUCAUAAUUUAUUAUUGAAGUUUUUAAAUUCCACAAGUAAAGUCAAGAAGUUGAUAAAGUCUUUUAGAAGAAUAAUAAAAUAUUUUAAAAAAUUAAAUAUUUUAAUACUGCUUGUAGAAUAAAUAAAUAAAAAAACAUUACACCAAACAAUCACCUGUUUAAUCAAAAUAUAAGAAAUAGGUAUAAUUUUGAAUUUGUUGAAAAUAAUUUAAAUAAUAAUUAGAAAACUAUUUUUUAAAAGAUGUGUUGUAAAAUUUAUUCAAAGUGUAAAAGACAAAUUAUUCCUUCAAUGCUUAGCCAAAAAAAAAGAAAAAGAAAAAGAAACUAUUCCUUCGAAAAAAGAUAAUUAUUGAAAAAAUAUAGUUAGAUAUAUGUCUUUAUUAAUAAAAGAUUAUCUAUUAACAAAAUUACUUUACUUUAAUGUCAUAAAGUAAAACAUUAAUCUCAUAUUUAUAUUUUUAAAAUUUUAACUCUUCAAUGGUAGUUAAGAUUAUGCAAAUGAGUUCUUUUUAAAAAAUAUAUAAGAUAAUUCAAGUUUUGAUCUUUGUUGUCGCUGUGGUUAUUUAGUUUGCUCUCUCAAUGGAUAUUGUUAUUGCCACCGUUGGCUCUAUUGUCUCUAAAGCUGUAGAGUAUACGAUCUCUCCUAUCAAAAACCAUGUCAAAUACCUUUCCAAUCAUCAGCAAUAUGUUGAGACCCUCAAGGACCGAGCUGAGAGGCUGAAACAUGCAAGGGACAGAGUGCAGCAUUCUGUUGAUGCGGCUAAACGAAACGGUGAAGAGAUCGAAGGUGAUGUUGGCAAAUGGCUGUCUGCAGUCGAUAAAAAGAUCCCUGAACAAGUAGAGAAAGUGAUGCAAGAUGAAGAAAAAGCAAAGAAAAAGUGUUUCAUUGGUUUGUGUCCUAAUUUCAGGACUCGUUACAAGCUUAGCCUGAAAGCUGAAGAGGAGGCAAAGGCUGUUGCCGAGCUACUUGAACAUGACAAGUUUGAAAGGGUUUCCUAUCGUGCAGCUCCGCAAGGUAUCAUGGUUGCACCAGUUAAAGGUUAUGAGGAAUUCGAGUCAAGAACGUCGAUUUUGAACGGAAUAAUGGAGGCACUAAAAGAUGAUAGCGUCAGCGUUGUUGGGGUGCAUGGUAUAGGUGGGAUUGGAAAAACAACACUGGUCAAAGAAAUUGCUAGAAAGGUCAAGGACAAGUUGUUUGAUUCGGUUGUCAUAGCAACCGUAACUCAAGCCAUUGAUAUUGAGAAGAUUCAGAACCAAAUUGCAGACUUCUUGGGCUUGAAAUUUGAGGAACAGAGUAUGGUUGGAAAGGCAUUUCGACUAAGAGAAAGAUUGAAGAAAGAGGAGAGGAUUCUGGUUGUCCUGGAUGACAUUUGGGAAAAGGUUGAUAUUGAGGAAGUAGGGAUUCCUUUGGGAGAUGAACACAAGGGCUGCAAAUUACUAUUAACUUCUAGAGAGCUCAAUGUUUUAUCAAAUGAGAUGGAUGCUCAGAAAAAUUUUCCCAUUGGGUUUUUAAAUGAAAAGGAAGCCUGGGACCUGUUCAAGAAGAUGGCUGGCAACUGUGAUGAAAGUUGCGAUUUGAAGCCUAUAGCUAUGGAGGUAGCCAAAAAAUGUGCAGGACUGCCGAUAGCCAUUGCGACAGUUGCAAGGGCUUUGAGAAACAAAAAAUUGUUUGAAUGGAAGAUGCUUCACGAGAACUGGAGAUGCCUUCGUCAAGCAACUUCACGGGGAUAACUGCGGCAUAUUCAGCUAUAGAGUUGAGUUUUAAUUAUUUAGAAAGCGAGGAAGUUAAGCUGACUUUCUUGCUUUGCAGUGUAAUAGGCCAUAAUGGUCUCGUUGAGGACUUGGUAAGAUAUACUCUAGGUUUGGGUUUAUUUGAUGGUGUCCACACUAUGGAAGAAGCUAGAAAUAAAGUAUUGACGGUUGUGGCUAAUCUCAAAGCGUCUGCCUUGUUGCUUGAUAGUUAUCAUGAUAAGCGCUUUGAUAUCCAUGAUGUUGUUUGGGAUGCUGCUAUAUCUAUUGCAUUGAAGAACUACCGUAUGCUUGUUUUGAGAGAUCAUGCUCCAAAGGAGUGGUCUGAUAAGGAGAAAAUGAAGACGUGGAGUGUGAUCAGCUUACGUUGUCCUCAGAUCAUAGCUAACCUUCCUAAGGAGAUGGAGUGUUCAGGACUUUCCUUUUUCCAUAUGGCCCAUGAUGGCGCGGUUAAAAUUCCUCUCAAUUUCUUCAAACAAACCGAAGGCCUCAAAGCCUUAGAUUUGGUCGGAAUGCAGUUUCCAUCCCUCCCUGAAUCAAUUAUUCACCUUGCAGACCUUCGCAUGUUGUGUCUAAAAAGAUGUGCAGUUGAUAACAUAACUAUCCUUGGAGAGCUCAAGAAUUUAGAAAUCCUUGACCUUGCUGCGUCAGGUAUCAAAGAACUACCUAAGGAGAUGGCACAAUUGACUCAAUUAAGGUUGUUAGAUUUGAGUUGGUGUAGAGAACUCAAAAUCAUCCCACCGAAUGUCUUAUCAGGUUUGUCUAAAUUAGAAGAAUUAUAUAUGAGUAGGAGCUUUGUUACAUUGAUUUGGACAAUGGGAUGAAAAUGUUGUUGAUAAAGACAGAAGAUUUGUGCCUAGAGGGACUUAAAGGCGUCAAGAAUGUACUUAUGAAGUUAAAUAAUGGGAAUGAUCUUCCAAAUUUAAAGAGACUUCAUGUCAAAAAUGGUAUGCAUGUCCAAUAUAUUAAAACGAACAAAAUUGGAUUUUUUGAAUUAUGCUUCAUCAAACUUGAAAAUCUACCGCAACUCGUUAGCUUUUGCUCUCCAGACGAAAAGUGUUUCACUAAGCCCUUACUACUUUUCAAUAAACAGGUAUUUGUUUGGCUUUACUUAUAUUUCCUUAUACAACUUUUAUUUAUAUGCCCAUUAAUACUUCUAAUAAUAGAAAUAAAUAAUAUUGUGUAAUGGUUUUUCCGAAGCUCAAAAAUAAAUUUCAAAUCCAAAACAAAUGAAAAUUUAAUUUUUAAUUCAAACCAAUUGAAAGUACAAAGUCAAUUUAAUAAUCUAAAUUUAAACCCAACAAUUUUUUUUUAAUUCUAAAAAUGAAAUUUGAGCCCACAAAUCGAACUAAAAUUAUCUUUAAAAUCGAAAAUCAUAUUUUCAAAUUAUGUUACAUACUAUCUUUCCCUAUCGAAAAAGAAUUGUGUGUAAAUAUGUGCAGUUUAUUUUCCCUCACUUGGAAAGCUUGUAAUUGUGUUCCAUUAACACCAAAAUAAUAUGGCACAACCAGACAUGUCAUUGGGUUACGAAUUUGAGGAGCUUGAUCAUCAAAGGAUGCGGCAAGUUGGAGCAUCUGUUAUCAGCCUCUCUCGCUAGAAGUCUGGUGCAGCUCCAACGCUUUGAGAUAGAGGAUUGCAAGUGCUUAAGGGACAUAAUACUUACAGAGGAAAUUGAAGAAGAAAGGAAAGAUGUGAUUUGUUUCCCUCGAUUAAACUCCCUGCAUAUAGGUGGUCUUCCAAACCUCAUCUUCUUCAACUCAGGAAACCACAAUAUUGAGUUCCCAUUGUUGAAAGUGCUAAAGAUUCAGCGUUGCCCCAAGUUAAUAGAAUUCAUUAAUCAGAAUAGUAAUCAGUCCGGCAUGCACGCUCUCUUCAGCGAGAAGGUGAUUUAUUUCAUUAGUCUUACACUCUUGCAUAAAUCUGUUGAUUUGUCCUUCUUUUUUUCUGCCUUCAUUAUUUGAGCUAACCUUAUUAUGGCCAUGGAUGAUAUAUAUAUAUAUAUAUAUAUAUAUAUAUAUGAAUAGGUUGCAGUUCCUAGCUUGGAAGACAUGAAUAUCUCUAACUUGAGUAAUGUGAAGAUGAUAUUUUAUAAUGACCUAGCACCAGGUUCCUUUAAAAAUCUACGAAAAAUAAGUAUUGGGGAAUGUGGGAGUUUGAAAAAUGUAUUUCCAGUAUCAAUAGCCAAAGAUCUUCCACAACUUGAAAAUUUAAUCAUCAUUAAUUGUGGAGUUGAGGAGAUUGUAUCGAAAGGGGAUGGAGUGGAGGAGCAGCCUGUGAGGUUUGAGUUUCCGCAAGUGUCUUACCUUGAGGUUUCAUUGGUAGAAAAGCUCAAAUGUUUCUAUGAAGGGCAACAUACAAUAGUCUGGCCGAUGUUAAAAAUUUUGAGAACAGAUGGUCCUGCUGUGCAAAAGAUAGUGGCAUCGGAACAUCUUAGAUUAAUCCAAGGAAAUGAGCGGCCAGUUUUGUUGGGUGAAGAGGUAUGUAUAUCAUUACAACUAUAUUUCUUUUUAUAAUGCAUUUCUAAUUACAUCCUUAAACUAUUGAGGUUAUAUCAAUUACAUCUUUCUAUUAUUAAAUUCGCUACUUUAGCCAUCAAAUUAAAUCAAUGUAAUAUUUUAAAACUUUGGUGUUUUAUCUACACUGUUCUGCUUAUAUUUUUUUAUCAUAAAAUAUAUAUAUAUAUAUAUAUAUAUAUAUAUAUAACAAUGGUUGUUUAUCUAUUUUAAUCUAGAUUUGCUACUCUUCUUUCGGCUUUCAUGUUGUGUAAUUUUUAUCAGUUUUUAUUCUCAAGGUAUUGUAUUUUAAUAUUGAUUUUGUUGGGAUUUAUCAUCAAAAUCAAAUACUAAAAUUGUAAAUCUUUUUUUUGUUUGUUUGUUUUUUUAAAGCAUAUACAUCAAGAUUGAGCCUAACUUGUAUAUAUUUAAUUGGUUUCCAAGCUCAUUCCCAAAUUAGAGAAACUUGAGUUACGAAAUUUUGGUGAUAUGGACCAAUUUCCACCAGACUUGUUUCAACAUAUUAAAGUUUUUGCAUUGAGUGGUGGCUCUCCAUAUUCUUUAUUUCCUUUCGUCCGAAGAUUCUACAAUCUGGAAAGACUUGAGUUCUCUUGUUUUGAUUUCAAACAUGUAGUCCCUUGUAAAGGAGACGCUGGGACUCUCCCACCAAUUAGAAAUCUGAAAUUGGUUUCUGCCAGAAAUCUUAAUCAUAUUUGGAGGAAAGAUUCGGAGCUUUACCAUAUUCUUUCUAAUCUUCAAACACUCACAGUUCAGCAAUGUGAUGAUUGGAUAAAUAUUAGAGUCUUCUCAUCAUCUUUACAAAAUCUCACAAUUCUGAAUGUGUCAUUUUGUAAAAUGAUGACAAACUUAGUUACACCCUCAGUACUUAAGAAUCUUGUGCAAUUAACGACAAUGAGGGUAAGAGGGUGCACUAAAAUGACAGAAAUAGUGGGAAACGAGGGAGACUGUCAUCAGACAAUAGUUGUUAGUAAAUUGAAAUGUUUACAACUAUGCAAUUUGAAGAGCCUCACAAGCUUUUGUCCAUGGUAUUACAACUUCGAGUUUCCUUGUUUGGAAGAAUUAGUUGUGGAAGAUUGUCCUAGGUUAAAGAUCUUUUCUGAGGGNNNNNNNNNNNNNNNNNNNNNNNNNNNNNNNNNNNNNNNNNNNNNNNNNNNNNNNNNNNNNNNNNNNNNNNNNNNNNNNNNNNNNNNNNNNNNNNNNNNNNNNNNNNNNNNNNNNNNNNNNNNNNNNNNNNNNNNNNNNNNNNNNNNNNNNNNNNNNNNNNNNNNNNNNNNNNNNNNNNNNNNNNNNNNNNNNNNNNNNNNNNNNNNNNNNNNNNNNNNNNNNUGCAUUUCUAUUUAUGAUGCUAUCUAGUGGAAUAAUAUCAGAUUAAUUUUUAGGAUGGACUCUAUGAUUUCAACAUCUCUGACACAUUUCCGGAGUCGAUAGAAAUAUGGACUAGAAACCCUCAAGAAAUUUUUGGCUUCAAAAACCUUAGCAGCCUGCAGUUUUAUAAAUGUAGCAGCUUGAAGUACAUAUUUACUCCGUCUAUGCUUUUGAGCCUCAAUCGACUCCGAAGGAUAGAAGUGGAAGAUUGCAGUUCAAUGGAACAAGUAGUUAGGGAGGAGGAGGAAGCAAUGACACAUAAAUUUACAUUUCUUUCGCUAGAGUUCGUAACAAUUGAGUCGUGUUCCAACUUGACAAAUUUCCAUUGGGGAAGUCAAGCUCUUGAAUUUCCAGAGCUGAGUAAGAUCAGGAUAGCUGAGUGUCCAAAAAUGACUGCAUUUUCUUCCUCAGUUUCAAGAGAGAGUGGUGAUGCAAGUGAAAACGUGGUUGGCAAAGGGGGCAUCUAUGAUAACACUGCAACUUUUUUCAGCAAUAAGGUAAGUUUGAUAUUCAAUAUUUAUCUGCACAACUUAUUUCACAUUUUCUUUUGAUUUGAUCAACAUGAGUGCUACACCUUGUCAAAAUUUAAUAUAAUAAAAUCCAUAAAAAUAUUAAAAAAUAAGAUAAUAUUUAAAAAAAAAACUGGAGUUUAAAUCAUAAAUAAAUAUAUAAAAUAAGAAUUGAAGGAAAAACUUAAAGUGAAAUACUAAAAAACAAUAAGAAUUUAAGAGAAGUUUUAAAUUAAAUAGUAAUAGACAAUAAAUAAUAAAAUAAUAAUAGAAAAAAGAAAACUAAUCUCCCUUUAUUUUAAUUUGUGGGUGUAUAAGAAUUAAGAAGGAGAUAAUUGUGGAAGACCUUUACAAAGGUCAUUUGAGAUCAAAGGAGAAGAAGCAAGAAAACAAAAGGUGAGGAGUUUGAAGAAGAAAGAACCAAAUAUAUAGAGGAGAAUUGAAGUGAGAGAGUGGAUGGGUUUUAUUUAAAGAUUUAAUUCUUUUUUUUAAUUUCAUAUAUAGAAAAAAUCAGUGAAAGAAAAAACAGUUCAAUAUAAUUUUUUAAAUUUACUUGUCGGGUUUUAUUAAAGUAACUCAAUUUUUUGAUUAAUUAUAAAAAUGACUCAAUUUAAAAAUUAUGUACAUAAAUUAUUCAAUUUCUAUAGUAUUUGUCAGUGCCGCCGGACACAAUGGUGGCACCGACCUACCAUCAUCGACCAAUGAUUGUAUUUUAUUUAAAAAAUAAUAGUUCUUGGACUUGACGAAGUAAUUACCCUUUUUUAAUUAGCAGAAAAAUGGGUCUUCUCAUGAAUAUGGGACACCAAAUUAAAUGCUUUUCAUCNNNNNNNNNNNNNNNNNNNNNNNNNNNNNNNNNNNNNNNNNNNNNNNNNNNNNNNNNNNNNNNNNNNNNNNNNNNNNNNNNNNNNNNNNNNNNNNNNNNNUUUUUUUAAAAAAUGAAAAUGGUUUAAAUUUGUUAUUCUUAUAUAUUUUAAGUGCUAUUUAAAUCUAAUUUCAAAAGAGGACAAACCUAACAUGCAAAUAGGUCAAAAGUUGAAAAACAUUUAAUUUGGUUCAGAUAUCAACAACACCCCUUUUUCAACCAAUCUAAAAACGUUAACCACUUCAAAGGAUCCCUUCACGUUUUAUAUAAUCACAUUAGUCUGGUGCCGUCAAUUUAUUAGGCAACACCACUACAAUUUUUUAAAAAAAAAGCAAUCAUUGGCUGGUGAUGGGGGCCGGUGCAGUAAGCACUAUGGAAAUCAGGUCAUUUACAUACAUAAUUUUUAAGUUGGAUCAUUUUCAUAAUUAAUCAAAAAAAAUUGGUUACUUUUAACUGUCUAGUUGAUGUGUGAAUAUUAACCUUUAGAUCAGUUUAUAAAUCUUCAUACUCAUCUACUCAUUUUGAUUGUCUUUCAAAGUAAAGAAUCAAGAGUGAUACUAUCUUAUAAUGAUAUUUAUGUCAACAGGUUGUCAUUCCUAGAUUGAAGAGUCUGGAUUUGUCCUCCAUCAACAUUCAUAAGAUAUGGCACCACUCAUCCUCCCCAUAUAUCGGAUACCUAAAUUUCUUGCGGGUGAAGAGGUGUCACAAUUUGAAAUACCUGUUCCCGUCUUUCUUAGCAAAAGAUCUUGUGCAACUCCAACUCCUUCGAAUUUCGGACUGUAAUAUGAUGGAACAAGCAAUAUUCACGGAUGGAUUGGUUGAGGAACAUCAAGGGAGGAAUCAGAUGUUUUUCUCUAACCUACAUUCGCUCUGGCUAAAAGACCUUCCCAAACUCACAAGUUUGUGCUUUGAAAAUUACUUUGAAUAUCACUGUUU